UUCGUUACGAGCUUGUACACAGGCUUCUAAAGCCACUCGAUUAGCUGCUGCACCAGGUGCAUUUCCCCAAGGAUGUCCUAAAGUUCCUCCACCAAAUUGUAAUACAGAAUCGUCCCCAAAGAUUUCGGUCAGAGCUGGCAUAUGCCAAACAUGAAUACCACCUGAAGCUACCGGUAUAACACCUGGCAUGGAUACCCAGUCCUGAGUGAAAAAGAUACCGCGAGCACGAUCUUUUUCAAUAAAAUCAUCGCGUAAUAAAUCAACAAAACCUAAAGUCAUUUCGCGUUCCCCUUCUAACUUACCUACUACUGUACCAGAGUGGAUAUGAUCUCCCCCAGACAUACGCAAUGCUUUAGCUAAUACACGGAAAUGCAUACCAUGAUUUUUCUGUCUAUCAAUAACUGCAUGCAUUGCACGGUGAAUGUGAAGAAGUAGGCCAUUGGCGCGGCAAUAAUGAGCCAAAGUAGUAUUUGCGGUGAAUCCCCCAGUUAAGUAGUCAUGCAUUACAAUAGGAACCCCUAAUUCUCUUGCAAAUACAGCUCUCUUAAUCAUUUCUUCACAUGUACCCGCAGUCGCAUUCAAGUAAUGCCCCUUGAUUUCACCGGUUUCGGCCUGUGAUUUAUAAAUAGCUUUGGCACAAAAGACAAAACGGUCUCUCCAGCGCAUAAAUGGUUGUGAGUUUACGUUUUCAUCAUCUUUGGUAAAAUCAAGUCCACCAUGUAGACACUCAUAACACGCUCUACCAUAAUUUUUUGCGGAUAAUCCCAAUUUUGGUUUAAUAGUACAUCCCAAUAAAGGACGACCAUACUUGUUCAACUUAUCUCUUUCAACUUGGAUACCAUGAGGCGGGCCUUGGAAUUUUUUUGAAUAAGUAGGGGGAAUUCGUAGAUCCUCCAAACGUAGAGUACAUAGGGCUUUGAAACCAAAUACGUUACCUACAAUGGAAGUAAACAUGUUAGUAACGGAACCCUCUUCAAAUAGGUCUAAUGGAUAAGCUACAUAACAGAUCCAUUGGUUGUCUUCCCCAGCAACAGGCUCGAUGUGAUAGCAUCGUCCUUUGUAACGAUCAAGACUGGUAAGUCCAUCAGUCCAAACAGUUGUCCAUGUACCAGUAGAAGAUUCGGCAGCUACUGCAGCCCCUGCUUCUUCGGGCGGAACCCCAGGCUGAGGACUUACUCGGAAUGCUGCCAAGAUAUCAGUAUCCUUAGUUUCAUACUCUGGGGUGUAGUAAGUCAAUUUAUAAUCUUUAACACCAGCUUGAAAUCCAACACCUGCUUUAGUUUCUGUUUGUGGUGACAUAAGUCCCUCCCUAUAACUCUUGAAUUAAGAAUUCUCACAAUAACAGGGUCUACUCGAUGUUAAUUAGGCGUAAAUGAAACUUUAGAAAAAAUCUCGUAAAACAAAAAAAAGGAUAUUCAAUUAAUAUAAUAUCAACUCAUUAAAGAAAAUUGAGGGCAUGCUUAGGUUAAUGAAUAUGUUUCAUUCAUAUAUAAUGCGUACACCCUGUGUAUGUUCUAUCCUAUAGGAAUUCCACUAUAGGAAUUCGAUAGGAAUUGAGUUGUUGUUAUGGUAAGUUAACACGGUUCGUUAUUAAACCAUGGAUUUGAUUUACCAAAUCCAUAAUUAUUGUAUACUCUUUGAUAGAUAUAGCGCAACCAAAAUUAAUUCCUAAUCCUUAUUUUACAAGUUCUUAAUAGUUCUCUUUUCUUAUUUUGAAUGCAAAUACCUAACUAAAUACUAAUAAAAUUCUUUGUUGACAGCAAUCUAUGCUUCACAGUAGUAUAUAUUUUGUAUAUCGAAGUCCUAGAUAGGAAAGUAGAGUAGGCACAGAUCCUCCACAAAAGGCAAAAUGUAUGUAUAUGAAAAAAAGAUUGAUUGAACUUUCCAACGGACUCAUUCCAUGAGUAAACGAUUGAAUGGGAUUCGCUUGGGCAACGAAAUCAAGUCCUGGUCCCCUUUUCUCUCUUAUUGAAUUAACUAAUUCAUUUCCUUUUUACUUUUGGAUUUUUUUUGAUUUGAUUUGGCAUUAUUCAACAAUAAAAAAAGAAAAAUUUCGACAAAUUCCUUUUUUUAAUUAUGUGAUAAUUAUGAGAACCAAUCCUACUACUUCUCCUCCCGGGGUUUCCACAAUUGAAGAAAAAAGUACAGGUCGUAUCGAUCAAAUUAUUGGACCCGUGCUAGAUGUCACUUUUCCCCCAGGCAAGUUACCUUAUAUUUAUAACGCUUUGGUAGUCCAGAGUAGAGACACUGCCGAUAAGCAAAUUAAUGUGACUUGUGAGGUACAACAAUUAUUAGGAAAUAAUCGAGUUAGAGCUGUAGCUAUGAGUGCUACGGACGGGUUGAUGAGAGGAAUGGAAGUGAUUGACACGGGAGCUCCUCUCAGUGUUCCGGUCGGUGGAGCUACUCUCGAACGAAUUUUCAACGUUCUUGGGGAGCCUGUUGACAAUUUGGGUCCUGUAGAUAGUAGUGCAACGUUCCCUAUUCAUAGAUCUGCGCCUGCCUUUAUCGAGUUAGAUACGAAAUUAUCCAUCUUUGAAACAGGUAUUAAGGUCGUCGAUCUUUUAGCUCCUUAUCGACGUGGAGGAAAAAUAGGACUAUUUGGGGGGGCUGGAGUAGGUAAAACAGUACUGAUCAUGGAAUUAAUCAAUAACAUUGCUAAAGCUCAUGGGGGCGUAUCCGUAUUCGGUGGAGUAGGGGAACGGACUCGUGAAGGAAAUGAUCUUUAUAUGGAAAUGAAGGAAUCCGGAGUAAUUAAUGAAAAAAAUAUUGAGGAAUCAAAGGUAGCUCUAGUCUAUGGCCAAAUGAAUGAACCACCGGGAGCUCGUAUGAGAGUUGGUUUAACUGCCCUAACUAUGGCGGAAUAUUUCCGAGAUGUUAAUAGGCAAGACGUGCUUUUAUUUAUCGAUAAUAUCUUUCGUUUUGUUCAAGCAGGAUCAGAGGUAUCCGCUUUAUUAGGGAGAAUGCCCUCCGCAGUGGGUUAUCAACCUACUCUUAGUACAGAAAUGGGUUCUUUGCAAGAAAGAAUUGCUUCUACUAAAAAGGGAUCUAUAACUUCGAUUCAAGCAGUUUAUGUACCUGCAGACGAUUUGACCGACCCUGCCCCUGCCACAACAUUUGCACAUUUGGAUGCUACUACCGUACUUUCCAGAGGAUUAGCUUCCAAGGGUAUUUAUCCAGCAGUAGAUCCUUUAGAUUCAACCUCGACUAUGUUACAGCCUCGGAUCGUUGGCAACGAACAUUAUGAAACUGCGCAAAGAGUUAAGGAAACUUUACAACGUUACAAAGAACUUCAGGACAUUAUCGCAAUUCUUGGCUUGGAUGAAUUAUCGGAAGAGGAUCGUUUAACUGUAGCAAGAGCAAGAAAAAUUGAGCGUUUCUUAUCACAACCGUUCUUUGUGGCAGAAGUUUUUACUGGUUCUCCAGGAAAGUAUGUUGCUCUUGCAGAAACUAUUAGGGGAUUUCAACUAAUCCUUUCCGGAGAAUUAGACGGCCUACCUGAACAGGCUUUUUAUUUGGUGGGUAAUAUCGAUGAAGCUAGCACGAAAGCUAUAACCUUAGAAGAGGAGAACAAAUCGAAGAAAUGAAAUUAAAUCUUUAUGUACUGACUCCUAAGCGAAUUAUUUGGGAUUGUGAAGUGAAAGAAAUCAUUUUAUCCACUAAUAGUGGCCAAAUUGGCGUAUUACCAAACCACGCCCCCAUUAACACAGCAGUAGAUAUGGGUCCUUUGAGAAUACGCCUCCUCAACGACCAAUGGUUAACAGCGGUUCUGUGGAGCGGUUUUGCGAGAAUAGUUAAUAAUGAGAUCAUCAUUUUAGGAAAUGAUGCGGAACUGGGUAGUGAUAUUGAUCCGGAAGAAGCUCAAAAGGCACUUGAAAUAGCUGAAGCUAACUUGAGUAAAGCUGAGGGUACGAAAGAUUUGGUUGAAGCGAAGCUCGCUCUCAGACGAGCUAGGAUACGAAUCGAGGCUGUCAAUUGGAUUCCCCCAUCCAAUUGAAGACAAUCCAGUGGUUUAUAGUUGAUACAAAGAAAAAGGGAAGAGGGGUAGAAAAAGUUAUUAGAUAGUGAAGCGAAGUAAGUCCAAUGCUAUCUAGUAAUUUUUCUACCUACUUACCUACUAUUGGAUUUGAACCAAUGACUCCCGCCGUAUGAAAGCAAUAAUCUAACCACUGAGUUAAGUAGGCAAUUUAUCACCACAAAGGAAGACCCAUUACUUCGAUCGAUUAUAUAUUGAAUCCCUUUUCUAAGCAAUACCGCUCUGUUAUUGGUCUGUUAUAUACUAAAUACUAAACUAAAUACUAAACAGAUACAGAUCAAAGGGGUAUCCUCUGGCAUUAGAAAAUAUUCAUCUUGACAAGAAAUUAUCUAUAUGUUAAGAUAUCUCUGAUAAGGGCUAUAGCUCAGUUCGGUAGAGCAACUCGUUUACACGUGCGCCAAUGCUUUUCAAAGGAGCUUAUUAUGCAAUGAACAUAAUCGAUCUUAUUGCAAAAUCAAUGUCUUACUUCAUAGAUUCGAGAGAAUAGGAGAACAGUAGCCUGACAAACAGUCGGUUCAGUCCGAUUCAGGUGCCAAUUCAGGUGCCUAAUCAAAUAGAACCCUUAUGGAUUUGCUAGUUGAUAAGGUAAAUAUCCAGCCCACUAAAUGCUAGGCGUAAUGUGGGAGGUUUAUAUUUGAGUGUUUUUCAUGGUCGAUAAAAAAAUCUUUUGAUGUCUUGCUAGUUCAAUGUUUUGACAGAAGCGCGCGGUGUAAUUCCAUUGAUUUUUGGAUUUCGAUCGUACCUAAGAUCCUUUUUUUAUCUGGGUUGCUAACUCAAUGGUAGAGUACUCGGCUUUUAAGUGCGACUAUGAUCUUUUACACAUUUGGAUGAAACAACAAAUUCGUCCAGACUCUUGGUAGAGUCUAGAAGACCACGACUGAUCCUCAAAGGUAAUGAAUGGAAAAAAUAGCAUGUCGUAAUAAAAUCAAUCUUUUUUGAAUGGAAUCCAAAAUUACGAUUUUCUGGGUCUGAUGAAUAAAUGGAUAGAGCCUGGCUCCAAUUCUGGUAAAAUAAAAAGCAACGAGCUGAACUUCCUAAUUGGAAUGAUUCCCCGCUCUAAUUAGACGUUAAAAAUAGAUUAGUGCCGGAUGCGGGGAAAGGUUGGGUUUUCCUAUGAGUGGACCCUUUAUUUUUUCUUUUUUUUAGAAAUCCUAAUUAUUCUUGAUUAUGGAUUGAAUAAGGGAUGUUAUGGAUUGAAUGUGUAAAAGAAGCAGUAUAUUGAUAAAGAGGCUGUAUUCCAAAGUCAAAAGAGCGAUUGGCCUGCAAAAAUAAAAAACUUGUUCUGUUCUUUUUUUUAAUUAGAACAAACAUAAACUAAUUGGGUAGAAAAGGAGCAGAAAAAGAUCUGUGGAUUAGACUCCCUUUCUUUCCAGGGUUUGUAUUAAAAAUGCAACACCCUGUUCUGACCAUAUUGCACUAUGUAUCAUCAUUCGAUAAACCGAGAAAUGCUUCUUCUCUCUGAUUCAAGUAGAAAUACAAAUGGAAAAAUUCGAAGGGUAUUCAGAAAAACAUAAAUCUCGUCAACAAUACUUCGUCUACCCACUUCUCUUUCAUGAAUAUAUUUAUGCAUUUGCCCACGAUUAUGGAUUAAAUGGUUCUGAACCUGUGGAAAUAGUUGUUAGUUGUAAUAACAAGAAAUUUAGUUCACUACUUGUGAAACGUUUAAUUAUUCGAAUGUAUCAGCAGAAUUUUUUGGAUAACUCGGUUAAUCAUCCUAACCAAGAUCGAUUAUUGGAUUACAAAAAUUAUUUUUAUUCUGAGUUUUAUUCUCAGAUUCUAUCUGAAGGGUUUGCGAUCGUUGUGGAAAUCCCAUUCUCGCUACGGGAAUUAUUUUGUCCGAAAGAAAAAGAAAUACCAAAGUUUCAGAAUUUACGCUCUAUUCAUUCAAUAUUUCCCUUUUUAGAAGACAAAUUUUUGCAUUUGGAUUAUCUAUCACAUAUAGAAAUACCCUAUCCUAUCCAUUUGGAAAUCCUGGUUCAACUCCUUCAAUACCGUAUCCAAGAUGUUCCAUCUUUGCAUUUAUUGCGAUUCUUUCUCAACUAUUAUUCGAAUUGGAAUAGUUUUAUUACUUCAAUGAAAUCCAUUUUUUAUUUUCAAAAAGAAAAUAAAAGACUAUUUCGAUUCCUAUAUAACUCUUAUGUAUCAGAAUAUGAAUUUUUUUUGUUGUUUCUUCGUAAACAAUCUUCUUGCUUACCAUUAGCAUCUUCUGGAACUUUUCUGGAACGAAUCCACUUUUCUAGGAAGAUGGAACAUUUUGGGAUAAUGUACCCUGGUUUUUCUCGGAAAACCCUAUGGUUCUUUAUGGAUCCUCUUAUGCAUUAUGUUCGAUAUCAAGGAAAGGCAAUUCUUGCAUCAAAAGGCACUUUUUUUUUGAAGAAGAAAUGGAAAUGCUACCUUAUCAAUUUCUGGCAAUAUUAUUUCUGUUUUUGGACUCAGCCGCGAAGAAUCCAUAUAAACCAAUUAGCAAACUCUUGCUUCGAUUUUAUGGGGUACCUUUCAAGUGUACCAAAAAGUUCUUUGUUAGUAAGGAAUCAAAUGCUGGAGAAUUCAUUUCUAAUAGAUACUCGAAUGAAAAAAUUCGAUACCAUAGUCCCCGCUACUCUCCUCAUAGGAUACUUAUCAAAAGCUCAAUUUUGUACUGGAUCGGGGCAUCCUAUUAGUAAACCCAUUUGGACAGAUUUAUCAGAUUGGGAUAUUCUUGAUCGAUUUGGUCGGAUAUGUAGAAAUCUUUUUCAUUAUCAUAGUGGAUCUUCGAAAAAACGGACUUUGUAUCGACUAAAGUAUAUACUUCGACUUUCAUGCGCUAGAACUUUAGCUCGGAAACAUAAAAGCACGGUACGAACUUUUAUGCAACGAUUGGGUUCGGCAUUUUUAGAAGAAUUUUUGAUGGAAGAAGAGCAAGUUUUUUCUUUGAUGUUCACCAAAACAACUCUUUUUUCUUUCUGUGGAUCACACACUGAGCGUAUUUGGUAUUUUGAUAUUAUACGUAUCAAUGACCUGGUCAACCCUCUUAAUUAAUCAUUAGACGAAAUUAAGAAACAGGAAAGGGUUGAUAAAUGAUCAAGAAAAAACUUUUCUAUUUUUCAUUCUGAAAUGUUCUUUUUAUUAUAAUAAAGAGUAGGUGAAUCAACUUACUAAUUAAAAAAAUUAGUAGAACUUCCUCUUUGGAAUAGAAAUAGGCUAUUUCUACAUAGGGAAAGUCGUGUGCAAUGAAAAAUGCAAGCACGAUUUGGGGAGGGAUUUUUCUCUAUUGUAACAAGGAAGAAUUAUCUACUCCAUCCGACUAGUUCCGGGUUCGAGUCCCGGGCAACCCAUAUAGAAAAGACUCAUCAAAGUUUUUAACUUUGACUCACUUCAUUUACAAAUACAAAAUUAUUGGUUUGGUUAAUUUAGUUAUAUGGAUAGCUAAUCUUUGGGCUGACUUGGUUGACAUUGGUUAAUUAGGCGGAGACAGAGGGAGUGGUUAAUUAGGUGAGGCCACAUAAUGAUUUCUCAAAAUCCUGCAUCGGGUGCUUUUCUUUUAGUAUCCUUUUACACAUUUUUGGGGUUUAGGGUUCAUUAUUUAGAUUAAUAUUGUGUAAUAUACAUCCAUAUAAACAUGUAGAGUUUUUUUUGGCUUUUUUAAACUUCAAAUAUAAUUUUGAACUAUUUGAAAUAAAGUGCUCCAGUACUUUAAAAGUACACUUUCAUCAUGCACCCCUCUUUUCAUCAUAGGUUUAAAAGGGUAUUUAUGUCCAUCCACAUAAAUUAAAACAAUUAAGGAAUUAAUCCUUUGAUUUGUUUGCUCAUUAGCCAUGGUGAGCGGUAGAGCGGCAAAAUCGCCUGGGCGUAUUUGACUCAAUACUCUCAUGGUCUAGGGAACUAGGCAUACAUUCAGUCUCCGUGUUAUUACUUUAGACUUGCAACGAUAACAUCACUAAGUAUAACAAAUAACUUGGGUCAAUUCAAUAUGAUCACUAUUCUAACAUCAUACUCUCAAUGUUGUUCUUGUUUCAGUACGUAAACAAAAAAGCCUACGACCAGGAAAACAUAAUCAUCAUACAACACUUGAGCUAGUCCUAGAGGCAAGACUAGGAAUCAAGUUUUACCAUUUAUUCUUCUACACGUGCUUACGAGUUUUCCUCUAAACCAGAUAUUCAAGAAUCAUAAGAGUUAUAGCAUAGAAUAUAAACGCUUAAUUAUAAACCUGGAAAUAAGUAAUACAAAUGAUUUCGGUUCAUUGGGAGGUUCUGCCCAAACGCAUGUGACGAUUGACCAAUCUUGCACCGAGCAAACCGAAGUUUAUGCCAUGUUCCUUUCGGCCCGGACGUAAAGAAAGGGCCCGUUGUGUACAGUACAGUAUAGCCCACUAGGCUCAUCCGCCUCGUCUCCAUCUUUCUCCCCUCACUCCCGAGUCCAAGAUCCCCAAUUUUGCCAUGGCGGCGGCGUAGGGACAGCCGCAGACAUUUUUGCGCCUCCUCCGAAUUAGCAGCCUUCUUCUCCCUACCACCAUUGCUGCAUAUGAGCACAAGCGCCCACCGUCUCUCUGUCUCCUCCCUCGUACUGCAGUAAUCCCAAACCAAAGAAAAUGGUUGGAGGGCGCUGCACGGACGCCUUCGCCAAGCCGAAGCAUCCGCGCCCUGCAGGUGGCGACGACGGAAGCAACGGCGGUGAUGCGGGUGGGGGAGGCGGCAUCGGGCAUGCCGGCGACCGUCUGAGCGCGCUGCCGGACGACCUCCUCCACGCCAUCAUGUCGCGCCUCAAGGCCCUGCAGAUGGUGCGGACCUGCAUGCUGUCCACGAGGUGGAGGCACCUCUGGCGCGCCGUGCCGUGCCUCGACGUCGACGAGGAGGAGACCGGCGCCUACAACAAUUUCGACAACUUCACCAGCAACCUUCUGCACUGCCAUGACAUCGCGGUCCUGGAGGACUUCCGGCUGCACGCCGCCAGGACUUCUGACCGAUGGGUCCGCCGCGCCGUAGGCCAAGGCGAGGCAUGGCCUUGCCGGCUCAAAAGUUUGCAUCUCUUCAGACUGUCUAAUCUGAAUCUGACAGAUAUAGGGAGCCACAUCAGCUCCCGCUGCUUUGCUCUGGAGGACGUGCAACUUAGAAACUGCAGUUUUGUGCUCACCAGCAAUGCUAAGAUCGUCUCCGCCUCACUCAAGAAAUUGGCUGUCGUUGAUGGCUACUACAUGGUGCAUGACGAUGAGAUUUUUGCGUUGAUUAUAGAGGCUCCUGCUCUUGUUUCUCUAUGCCUGGACGGGGAGCUUGAACACAUUGUUGAUAUGACUGAACCACAUACCGUGCUGUCUCUUGUGGAUGCGUCGAUUCAGCUUCCGAGGGUCGAGAGGCGCGUGAAUCACCAAUUGGGCAUUCUUGGCGCGCUGUCUAAUGUGACAACCUUGCGCUUGUCGCAUUUCGCGGUCAUGGUAUACUCUUCUUCUUCUUGACAUACCCUUUUAUUCAGUUUGCAUCUCCUAUAUCUGCAACAAUUUAAGGAUAAGAAAAUGAUUGCCUGGGUUUCAGCUGUUGUUCUAUGCUACUCGUGAGGAUCUUCCUGUAUUCAAGUUUGAGAACCUGAGAAGCUUGCUGCUAGAUGAGUGUCAUAUCAGCGACGACUUCCUCGGGCUGCAGCAAUACCUGCACAACUCGCGUAACCUGAAGAAACUCACUUUGCGCUGUUGCAAGGUGAUCCUACGUCUUCUUUCAUGAUCUAUUAGCAUAACUCAAUUUUUGUCUGUAAUAUUAAUUCUUUUAUGCUGUUCAACAGGUCUUGGAUUAUAGGCAUAACAAGGAGAUGAGAGAACGCCUGCACAAAUCUUCUGAGGAUCUGGUGGAUUUCAACUGUGAGAACCUUAGGCUUAGUGAAAUCAUAUACAGAGAUGGUGAUACUUCUGUCCACCUACUGGUCAUGUUUUUGGUGGGCAUGCCGACCAAUCUACCAAACAACAAGAUCGAAUUCACUAAAAUUGAUUAGCAGAACUGUUUGUCAAAUACGUCAUGUUGUCUACGGUUUGCUGAUUUUCGCCCAGGGUGCUUGUCUGACCAAUUUGAAUCAUUAGCUUUUCCUUUUACUAGUAGUUCAUCAUCUGCAUUCCAUGUUAUAUAAAUAUAUAUUGCAAGAACCAUGUAAAUAUGCAUUGAAGCAUGUCAUUUCUGUUUGUUUGGCAAUUUAUGGGGAGAAAAAACUGAACAGGGGAUUGAUUACCUCUCUCUUAUUUGACGCAAGGAUGCUCCACUUAAUAAUAUUUGAUGGUUGAGGUAGUUUGAUUUCACCAACUCAUUACUUUUUAAUUAAUACAAAUGUAUUCUUGGUUGAAGUGGAAGUAUCUUGUAUCAGCUAUUCUAGGUGAUUUAAGGUUGUUACCUUUGGGAUGUGGUAUUGACAUUCACAUUUAAGCUCUUCUGCAGAUGUUCUUGCUUACUGUGACUCAAAUGACACAAGCUGUUUCAUCAUCCCUUGUACGUGUACAAGGGACAUCAGUGAUGAAGCAAAAGGCCCUACUACAUAUCUUGCGGUCAUACCUGAUACUGAGACACUGUGUGUGUAGGUUGGUUCCGAUUAACUUUUUCGGACGAGGUGGUACAAAAUAGUAUAUUGGAUGGUUCAGAUGGUUUCUUGAUUGAAGUGGAAGUAUGUUGUAUCGCCUCAUCACGGUGAUUUUAGGCUUAGUCCUUGUGGGAUAUGUUAUCGAUUUUUAAGCUCUAUUUUGCGGCAGUCUUGCUUACUGUGAUCCAAAUGGCGCGAAGGCAGUACUAAACAUCAAAAUUGUUGGCAGCGACGCUAGAUCAGUACCCACUGUCAAUAGAAUGAUGUUAUUCAUGAGUGGAGUAUUGCAUUACUGGGGUGGGUUUGUGCACAAAGAGUUACAGUUGGGUGUUGAUAGCACCACCUGUUUAUUGGAAGUUGAAGCAUGUCAGAAAAUCAAUGUUUCAGUCACACUGAAACAAGGUCUGAUUGGCUGAGAAAAAAGCCAUACAAUAUACAUAUCAUUUACAGCAAAACAAAGGGUUGGUUUGUUAAUAACUGAUCUUGCCAAUGUACCUAUCCUUACUGGACGUAGUCAUGAACUAAUUUCCAUGCCUGCAUCCCUAUGUUGCCAAAAGUUCAGCAUUUCAUUAACAAAGUGUGUCGAUGAUCAGGUUACUUCGACGUUGCUUGGUGGUGGCGCAGUACAAUGCGUACACUGAACGACUACUCUUCUCCAAUCAGAUACAAGCGGUAGGGAGGUUCUUUGACCACCAUGGAUUUGCCAGACAACAACACGUCAGUUUUCCUUCUUUGGUUGGGUCGAGCGAUGAUACCUUUUUUUAGCUCCGAGGCAAAAGCCUCGUUGCCUUGAUUGGUUUGAUGUAACAACGACAAGUCAUAUGCCUUCGCCUACCGAAGACUUGUCUUGGAAUAUUAGGAUGCCUCCAGUGAAAUAUAUUCUUCAUUUGCUGAAUCAGGCAGAUGAUAGUGAGGUGGACUUUUCGGUAAAAUCAUUUUUUUAGAAAAGGAGGAGGACCCCCGGUCUCUGCAUCUGGACGAUGCAUGCAACUACUUUAUUAAUUAUUCAUACAAGACAUUACAAAGUCAUACAACAGUAAGACUAAAGCCACCGUCUAGGCAACAUCUGUCGCUACUCUUAUCCAGUUGAUGAAGGGAUGCUGAUAGUCCGGGCCUAAUUCCAAACAGACCUCGCAGCCAAACCUACCAUCUAAUACCUGAGGUCCCAACCAGGGCGCCUGUCGGGUAUGGGGCACCCACCAGUUCGGCGCACUCCUCAAACAGGACGCCUGCCGGGUAUGAGGCCGCCGCAGCCACCUGCCACCAAUCCAUCUUCAGUGUUGUGCUGCUGCAUCAACCUUGCCCGGUCUAGCUGCCGUCGACAUCACCACGACGCUAGACAACGCCACAUCUCUGCGCGAGUCCAUCUCCUCGCAUCAGACGUCGAGUCUCCAUGGCGCCAUGCCGCCGAGAUCCGCCGCUAGCAAUGUGUAAGCUGAAGCACCGCUCCACUAAAAAAGCCUUCCACUGGUCCCUCGGUCCGUGUACACCUCCACGAAAUGACGCCCCCAAGAGGGAAACGACACCAUAGCGCAGCCGUCAUCCAAUCUACUGAUCUAGGGUUUCCCCCGGAGGUAGCAUAGAGUGGCCUUGAACUUCUCCAUGGUGAUGCCUUUAAGAAGGGAACGACGUAGACAGCGCCGCCACCGCCGACCUUGGCAGCUAACCAAGAGCAGGUUUUCACCCAGAUUUGUUUGAAGAUCCUCCCUCAAGCAUCUCGUGCACGGACUGCCGCCCUCUCUGCCGGGGACUGGACGAAAGGGAUCCAUGCCGCCGCCGCCUGACCGGCCAUGGCACCACCACGGUGCCUACAGCCGGCGCCGUCAGGCCCACCACGGUCGCCUGUAGAUGCACGCCGGAACCGCCAGCCCGCCCAAGCCCGUCUGGGCAAGACAAGAUCGGCGAUCUCGGCCGCCGCCACAGGGGCGACUCCGCUGACGCCGCCGUCACGCAUGCCGUAGGGAUCCCGCCGCUCCUUGCCACCGGAUCUCCGUCGAACGAUACGCCGCCGCCGCACGGAAAGAUCGCCACCACCGCGCGAGGGAUAAGACCCCGCCGCCGCCAUCAUAGGCCAGGCUUCGCCGGUGAGACCUCAGGCGGCGGCUAGACGGAGGAGGCGAGGGGAGGGGGCCUAGGGCCGGCGGCGCGAUCGCCCCCCGUGUCGCCUAGGGUUGGCGACGCCUGGGUGGGGGCGGGGGUGCCUGGCUGAUCAACUGGAGAUUCCAGUGCCCGCGCAAGGAGUGAGAUUGGCACAUUCUGCCUUCUCUGACUGGUUCAACAAAUGAUGCUGUAGUGGUGUUGCUACCUCCAAAUUUGUUGUCUUGGACUCUUGGUGCCGUGAUCCAUAUACUAUGUUUGUUGCUUCUGUUCAGCGGUUUAAACCAAGUAACAAGUAAGAAGAUUAGCAUGUUAUUGUUUAACCGGUCGUGAGAUUUGGCGCUCUUAGUUGGUUUCUAUUCGCAUGUUGUUUUCAGCCUCGACGUCUUAAACUUGGUAUGAAUAAAUUAAAUUGUGUGCAUCGAUAGUGAUCCUUCCAUUCUGUACAAAGCGUAUGCAAGUCGUGAUUUGGUCACAUGAGCUUGUAACUAGUCAGCGACGUAGAAGCCUAUUUCACUUAAGAUUGAAAUAACUCGGUCCUGACCUUCAUCACGAAAUGAGAGGUUCCACUAAAAAAAUAGUUAAAUAAUUGAUUUCUUCUACUUGUCACAUAUUUACAUACACUAGUAGAAUGCCCGUGCGUUGCCACGGGCUUUAAAAAUUAAGAUGCUACCCACGGAGCUGAAGUAAUCGAGAAUAACGCACAUCUCAGCUGACACAUAUCAUACUAUCAGACACAAUAAUACAUUAUUAACAGCUUUAAUAAAAUAUAUGUUAUUGAAGCCUGUUAUUGACAACUUUAAAAAACUACAUAUUAUUGAAACCAAUUGAACGCCAAGAGGGUUGUGAUACCCAUCCAUGGGUGAGUGCAUAAUUCUGGUGGUGGUGGUGAUGUACCUACAUUGUUAUCUGUAUUUCUUUAUCCUUUUAUCGAGGCACGGAACAAUUUUACUAUCUUGCUCUUUUUUAAUUCAAAUACAAACACAAUCAUAGAAAUCUGGAGUUCAAGUCACUGUUCUCAUUCCUCACCCGAUCGAUUUUCUGUGGGGAGCACAUUUGAGCCACCACUGGUUUCUAAUAAUCUUUUAUACAAAUGCACACCCCCUGAUAUCUCAACGUCGCAACCUUCUAGUCAUGGAGAUUACCCAAAGGAAGUUUUUUUUUUUUUUGCCAUUAUCACUUCUUUAUCUGGUAGUAGAUGCCAUAUUUUUACGAAAGUAUGACAUAAUUUUUUAGACACAUACAAUGAUAUUGUUUUCAUUAUGAAUAAUGCAUUUGUACAUAAAGUCGUCCAAGUUUGGUUCCACAUUCGCCGAACAUCCUAUGAAUUUUCGAGAUUCGGUUACACAACCAAGCAUGGCAUGAUGUGAGAAAACCAACAAUGAUGUGUGCUUGAGCAUCUUUCACCAUGAAAAAAGGCAUUUUGGGAGUCUUGAUCAUCACUGAGGGUAAGUUGAUUGAUGCAUUGCGGAACCUUGAGCAUUUUUAGAACCCAGAAACCUGGACAAAGAAUUUGAACUGUAUGGACGAAGAAUUUGAACUGUAUGUACCAAUUUCAUAAGUGAGGCCCUGAUAUUGGCAUGUAUUUGUGGUGGUUCUUCAAGUAUGGCUGCAAUGCAAGUUCUAUUUAUAUGCAAAAAUGUAGUUAGUCCCCUAAAAUAAUUACUCUAUUCACAUGAAUUUGACAAGUUGGAAAAUACCUUGGGCGGUUCUUACGAUAAUGUUUCCAAUGGAAUUGCUAUCAAAAUUGUGUUUCCAAUAUACCUCCUUCACCGCCCUCUUCAUAUUCUUAUGUAGCAAAACUCACUACUUUAUGUUAGCAUAACUUAACUACUAAAGUUGGAUGUAUGGCAUGCACAUAAUUUAGAUAAAAAGCAAAAUAAUCAGUAUUAAAAAAGAGAUCGACAAUAUGCCCUAGAAAGAAAAAUAAUAUGGUAGGCUAACAUGAAUGGAGAAUAAACCUUCCUCUUAGUGCUUUUACCUGUGGGGUCUAUGUCUUUAUUGGGCUUGGCCAAAAUCUCAGUGGUCUAUCUUGACUUGUCAAAUGUACAUGACUUGUGUCAGAUUCAAGAAGCCUUAUUGCCUAUCCACCCUAAUUGUAAACAACUUUAAAUAUUAUUCUGCUUCAUAAGUUCUAGGAGUUUAAAAUGUCAUAGUUCUCAAGAUGCUGAAAUAUAAAUUUCAUAAUAACAACAAGGACUCAAACCCUACCAAGCAAACUUUUUUCUUUGUUCAGAACAACAUCAAUAGUUCCAUGUGAAACACAGUUCAAAAACAUGACACAUUUAUUAUAUAUCCCAGAACAUUAAAAUAAAUUGAUGUGUGUACUCGUAUUUUUUGGGAACAAGAUUAAGCCCCCAUCCAACCAGAUGAGGUACCAACAGUUUUAGUAACAUAUUAACCCACUGGUGUUCUUAAUCCUGAAAAUCUGGCUGUGUACUGGUCCAGAAAAUUACCUAAGAAAUAAUUGCAAGUGAUAGCAGAAACCUGUGCCCAUUUAGAAAUGGCAAGAAAACAUUACAAAGAGGUCAUGAUAUAUAUGAAAAAUGAUUUGUACACUACAACAGAUCACCAUAUACGAAUAAGAUUAGUUGAACGUAAUUCAACACCCAUUAUGAGAUGCUAAGAUUUGAAUCAUUAACUAUGCAAUUUAGUGGGAGUUUGGAGUAUCACAUCUCUCAUGUGCUCCGCAACGAGAACAUUGUACAUACAUAUAGAAAGAAUCAGAUCAAUUUACAAAUAGAAUAAAGAGUGGUCAUGGGAGUUCACAUGUUCGUUGUUCUCAUAACAAACAAAUAUGAUCAGCAGUCCCUUACUAACAAAUCUGAAACCGAGCAUAAAAUCGAGAUCCAGGAGGUUGUUGGACUGUAGGUGAUGACAGUUAAGGCGAAGGGGGAGACGAUGAUGACUCCCUAGGCCUAGAAAUGAUCGUGAAAUUGUAGCUGACAAACUGCACUAAGAUCCUUGAAUUUAUUUUACUUGUCAUCCGUCUACGUACAUGCAAAUAAACUAAUAUGUUGGAUCUGAUCCAUGAUGCAUAAUCAGUGUGAAAGUUUAGUCAAGAAAGAAGAAGAGUGUAUCGUCUGAGAUGUGCACUACUAACGUGGAGGCAUUCGGCAGGCUCAUGUCUCCAUCAGAUAAAGUAUAUGUAAACAUGAAUAGAUGACAAUUUCCAUCGCAAAAUGCCCAUAUCAAAGCGAGCAGUAUAUCAAACUGCUUACUUGCCGCAAAGAUGAGAUGGUCAGCACAUAAAGGUGCUCACAAAUGCUGAUGCCGUACUUACAUCAGAACUCUAGCCUCAAUUUCUCAAACAGAGCUUCUUUCAAAUAGUCAUGUUGCACACAUUUAUAAUCAGAGAAGUUGUAUUGGCCCCUUGAUAUGAGAAAAGGCAAGGACAGCAAGUGCUGCAGAGUACCCUCAACAAGAAGUAACUAUUAUACUGCAAUAAAUAAACCUCUACAAUUGAGUAGAAAGUGACAAAAAAAGGAGCGCUCCAUCUGCCUGACCUUACUUUUUAGAAAUGUCACAAGCUGCUUAUAAAAAGUUUAAACCAACUUACGUGCUAAGAGUACAAAAUAACAUCUACUCCCUCUAUCACAUAAUAUAACAUCUUAUUACAUCAAAUGUAAUAAGAUCUUAUAUUAGGGAACGAAGGGGGUACCAUCUUCCGGGUGUUUGGAUUAUAGAGCUCACCAACAUAGGCAUUCGGCUUUACGGCCAGCACUGAUGAUAGGAACUCCUCCUGUGCUUCAGCUCAAAUCUCUAGUAGCUGAGUUUAGACCCAUCUUGUUACUAAACAACUUCGUGCCACCAACCAAACAUCCCUGCCACAAUCAUGGCCUCAUAUGACACAGUCAUAAUUCACACCCUAGCCUUGAUCGUGCAUGGAGCUGCGAAUUGGAUUUGAUUACUCACAACCAUAGAAAAGAAAGGGAAGACUAAAGAUCAAAUCCACCGGAGCAAACAAUAGAUUCUUCAGCAAAAGGUCGUCCAUGGUUGUCGGAUGGUUUAUAUGCGAGGAAUCAUUGUCGAUGGACAUAAAAAGUCGGGGCAUCGUCUAUGGUGUACGAGAUUGAUUGGACUGACCUUGCGACACCCUCAGGCCUCAGGUAUGGCGAUGUGCCGAUGUCGAUGGCCAGCUCGGAGCCCAUAUCAUGUUACAGCAGCGCCGAGUACCUGGGCACGAUGUCCCGGCGUUGCGGCCGCGAAGGCCGCAGUGACGUCAAACAACUUCUUGAAGCCGGCUGCACCCAGUCGUGGGCUGUCGAACGCAAACACCGUGACCGGCCAUUCUCGGCGAUGUACAACGCAUUCAGGGUGGCCAGCUCCGCCCCGAGGCUGUGCCCCAUUACCAUGAUGCUCACCUCCUCGUCCUUGUACGUAUCCAGCAGUUUCUGCACCUCAGUUAUCAAUGAAUCCUAGCUUUCCCUCCUUCAAGAGGUACCACACUCAAUAGAAAACACGAAGUACAAUAAUAAGUACAAAGAAUCUGUAAUCCAAAUAUAAAUAUGUGACUUGUAAAUAGCAAUGACAAGUGGAUAAAGCAUAUGUGCAAAUUCUAAGACACUAAUAUACUUAUGCUCCAACUCAAAUACUCAAUCAAUGGGACACACAAGAAAUACAUCGACUGUAAUAAAUAAAUGAGCAUUGUUUCUAGACAGCACCAACAAUAUCCCUCUACCUCCCCUUCAAUUUUUAGAUUCUGAAUUAAGUUUGUGGUCUGGAAUUAGAAGCCAUAUAUUCAAAAAUCCUCAGCAAUGAAUCAAGCUAAAUAAUAUGCACCUUUAAUUUGACGUCCGUUCCUCCAUCAUUACGCUUGUUACUCAGUAAGAUUUUAUUAUCUCCAUUAAGGUGAAUGCAACAAACUGUCUGGCACAAAGGUCUCUAAAUUAGAAUGCUGGAAUAAAUCCAUGCAUGAAACUAUUGUCUUAAGACAUUGGCACCGAAUAAACACCAGCACUUAAUCAAGGUGCACACGAAGGCCUCAAGUAGGAAGGAACAAAAGAUAAAGAAGUUUAACCGCGCUAACACAUAAAGAAAAGAUAAUUAUGAGGUGAAAAGAACUGAAAAUCUAAGUAAAUUGUACUGACAGAACCAUCGGCAUGCAUCUUCCAGUUUGUACCACUCAUGACCCCAUGCCGGGAAAAUCCUCCCUCUCUCAUGCGAACCAGACAAAAAUAGUAAAGACAAAAGUUUGACCUUCAUUACAUUAAGUACUAAUUUGACUUUAAUUGUAAAUCUUAGCAAAAAAGGAACUAACCUGGUUGAUUUUUCCUGUUUUUUUUUCGUUAUCGUUUUCGAUAGUAGAACCCGAUCCGUUUUUGGAUUGAAUGGACAAAAGGCACUAACCACACCCUUGUUGAACUUGAGAAAUUGUACAAUUGGACAAAAGCAGAUUAUAGAUUCAUAUAUAAGAGAAAAGGAAGACUCAGUCUAGUUGGAGCUAUAUGCAUUAAUGCAUGGAUGUCCUCCACAGAAUCUUUGCACCUUUUAAUUUAGAGUAUUUUUUCUUUAAGAUGUCAACCAUAAAGUAGACAUGAACUAUAUACACACUCGAUAUUCAUUACAUGAAUUAGAAGUAGAAGCGCUACUUCAGGGCAAAAAAAAGAUAUAGUACAACCGGUUCUUCUAUCUAUAUCUAACCAUGCGUCAUUAAGCUAAAAGUUUGGUUCAUAUCGGUUUCAUCAGAUGACUCAUGAGAUUGCCAUUUGAGGAUAUGUGGUCUGCUGGGAACACCGGCGGCAGCGGUGAAGCGCACGGUAAUAGAAUAGUCCUGUGUGACAUAUGUUUUCUUGCAUUGUCCUGUGUAACAGGUUGAUAUUUCUCUAGGAAUGGUAGUAGAAAGAUUGUGUGGUGCUGAUAUUGAACUUAUAAUAAAAUUGAGUUCUAGAAACAAUUCCCUACAUUGUCUCAUUAGUAAUCACACCAAGAAUACUUAUCCUCCUAUAGAUCUGAGUUGACUCUGUGUUUUGGUGUGCAGAAAUUGGUUACCGGUAGGAAAUAAUAUAACUAAUCGGUAUCUUGAGUUGCAAAGAGAUCACUCAGAAUGGUGCCUGAUAUUAUGCCAUAAAGAACUCACAUUUUUUAUUGUCCCUCAGGAUAUGUACGCACCUUUCUCUGCUGGAUGCAUGCACAAUUCUGAAUUAAGAACAAAUGACAUGUUAAUUAGCUAUCGUACAAAUGCUUUUCCGAGGGAAGUCGAUUAUGCAUUAAAAAAGCACUCUAUGAUGCUGUAUAAAUAAAGUCAUGGACGGGAAAGCAAUUUUUGACCCCGUGAUUUCUCUGUACAUUAGGCAAUGCCAUGAAGUAAUUUUUUUACAAAGAGGGGAGCCCAUCAAUUUCCCUACUGGAUUUUCUGGUGUCCCGUUUUAUAAUAAGUUCUUUGCUGGAAAAAACAUACAAAUAAUUAGUUACUCUAUUUGUCCCGACGUCGUGGACUAUGUCUAUAGUUUAAUUUAAUUUCUAAAUGGAACCGAACGACGAUUUCUAUUUUCUGCAGAUAAAACAUGGUGGCUUUAGACCAACAUAAAUAUGUAUACCUUCAUUUAGGUUUCAGUUCAAAGGUCUCAAUGCUCCAAUUUCUCAUUUUGAAACCUGAAACUGAAAGGAAUUUAACAAAUCAACAUAGCCUUGUGGAACCUUGAUCUUAGUUGCAUUAAGCCAAUCAGAGUAAGAAUGUAGCUUUGUAUCCUAGCUGUGUACAUCUUCUCUAAAAGUAAUAAUAAAGGCUACCAUGUUCAUUCAAGAAUAAAAAUUCCCAUGUCAGGAUAAUCUUUCAGUACAAAAGCUUGGUGCAUUUCCUUUAGACACACUAAAAACCGACUACUGUUAUGAACUUCAGAGAUGAACACUUGAUUCUUAAUUUGGUUUGCCAUAAACUAUAAACCAAAAGAUUUACACAUUAAAGCAGCAGUGGGUAAGCAUAUGCUGGGUUCUAAUAGGAGAGGAGUGCUUAGGAAAGAAAGAAAUCGUAGCCAUAUUCAGAUUCUUCCAUGACUGUUAAAUUUGAAGGAAUAACUUACUGUAUCAAAGACUAUAAUUUCAUACAGAAGACAUAUCAUGUGGAAACAGAAAUAUAUGAGUAUGGCAGGUGGGAACCAUAGAUCACAAGAAACAAAUAUUAGUUUAGUUGCACUCAUAUCAUCAAGGGCAUUGAGAGGUAACCUAACCUUGGAGAUUGCAUUUUGCUUCACCCAGUCCUUAUGACUUCUCAGUCAACCUUCCACAACUCUUCUGCAUGUGCCGCCUGCAAACCGAGGAGAAGACAAUGUUGGGUGGCCAUGUGUUAGAGUGAAGGCGGAUUAGGGAGAAGCAUUGAUAUGAAGAAAGCUCGUGAAACACAAACCUGAUUGCCAUUGUAUCUCAUGAAAAUAUACUUCUGAUGAAAACAAAUAUUUGCCAUCGUUGUACCUGCCUCUCAAACAAAAUAUGAUAUGUUCUAAUGAAAACGAAAGAAGAUGAUAUGCAUACCCCACAGAGGAAAAUCAUCUUGAUUGUAGAAAAAAUAGGGGGGCAACGUAUUCAUCAAAAUGAUACAGUACGAAUUAAGCCUAUAAGAUGAACUGAGUCUGGAACUCUGGAUCCACCAUUACCGAGAGAUCCAUCCAUCCCCAUGACCCGAGUCAUAGACCAGUACUUCUCUCCUUCCGCUCCUCUUUUGCCUGGAUCCAAGCCGCCAAAAAGGGAUCCUGCCAAGGCGGCUGCGGCGUUUACCCGGAUGGACCCGAGUUGGGAUGUCUUGCACUGUGAGUCAGGGAGUCUGCAGGAAGUGGCGGCGGCGACGGGGGUGCAACAAUGCAAUCCUCGUCUCCACGUCGUCACAUCCACGACAUCCUCAAUGCAUGGAGAGGCAGCCCCAUCGGGCGUGUAGGAGCCGACGGCCAGGCACGGAGGCAUCGUCCUCCGCGGGUGGUGUGGUGAUCCGAUCAUGGGCGGCGGCAUAGAGGGCGCUAGGCAUAUCCAUGAGGCGCUGGCGGCGGCCGACGUGGCGACCCCGUGUCCCGAUCAGGCGCCCACGGCCGAGGCCGAGGGUCCCUUCUUGUCGGCCAUGGAUGCCAUGGCGUUCAUGGCCCAUGGCACACGAGCUCCACGCCCGAGCAAUUGCGAUGGGAGAUGGCGGCGGCAUGCUGGAGGGGUGCACCGUGCGAGCGGAAUGGCGGCAGCGGCGUACGAGCGGAAUGGCGGCGGGGCGGAGGAUUCGGCGGCGGCGGUGGCAACGAUCGAUGGGAGUGGGCAAGGAUGGGGAUCGAUGGAGUUUUCUCGCGGCGGCGGCGGAAACGAUAGAUGGGAUCGAUGGGAGUGGGCAACGAAGGAUGGGGUCGAUGGAUUUUUUUUUGUUGGGUGUGGGUUUUUUUGGUGGCUGCGUGCGAUGGGGUGGGGUGGGGGAGGUGACGAAAAAAACCAGUCAAAAAAAAAACCNNNNNNNNNNNNNNNNNNNNNNNNNNNNNNNNNNNNNNNNNNNNNNNNNNNNNNNNNNNNNNNNNNNNNNNNNNNNNNNNNNNNNNNNNNNNNNNNNNNNNNNNNNNNNNNNNNNNNNNNNNNNNNNNNNNNNNNNNNNNNNNNNNNNNNNNNNNNNNNNNNNNNNNNNNNNNNNNNNNNNNNNNNNNNNNNNNNNNNNNNNNNNNNNNNNNNNNNNNNNNNNNNNNNNNNNNNNNNNNNNNNNNNNNNNNNNNNNNNNNNNNNNNNNNNNNNNNNNNNNNNNNNNNNNNNNNNNNNNNNNNNNNNNNNNNNNNNNNNNNNNNNNNNNNNNNNNNNNNNNNNNNNNNNNNNNNNNNNNNNNNNNNNNNNNNNAACCAACUCGUCCAUUAGGAGUAGAGAUUAUAACCGAGCACUCUUCCAGCCCUCUCAGACUAUCAGUACUUUUGUCCGUCGGAUCUGCGUUGGUUGGAGUUUAUGGUAAUCGGAUUAAACUUUGGGCGCAAUGCUUAACGCGACUAAACUGGGCAGCUGCUCUCGCAGCAAAAUUGGAGGCCCGUGGUUAAUUGGGCCCUUGCUCUCACGUGAAGCCCACUCAGACCUCGCGAGGAAACAACCGAACGAGCGAGCCACCCGUCUCCCUUCCCUCGACGCCCCACCCUCCCUUGGCUUCUCUCUCUCUCUCUCUCUCUCUCUCUCUCUCUCUCCAAUCCUAACCGCGGAUCAGCACCGCGGCAGCCCGUGUGCCUUUCAUCUUGGUAGCGUGUACAUCGCCGCCUCCGCCUGGGCGCUCCACUGCUCGCCUUCUCCAUCUCCCCGACGGUCGGCGGCGGUUAUGACAAAGCAGAGGCUGCGGUAAGAUUUACCCUUGGCGGCAUGGGCAGUGAACCGCUAGGUGCGUCGCCUACGCCCCAUGAGUGUUUCCUCAUUCAAGUGCUCCGCCUAUUGCCUGUUGGUUGGCUUUUGCCUCUUCGACCACCAGAUUCGGGUAGCAAAGAGGCUGUAGAGCUGCUCCUCCUAUUGCCCGUACGAUCACCCAAGCACUCUUGGUGGCCGGCCGUCUCCACCUUCACCAGAUACAUAUUACAGGAAAGUUUCUGAGUCGCCACCCUUUGCUCAUUCCCUUGUUGAAUUAUACAUAACCACAUGUCAUUUUGGCAGUCAGAUUUUGUUGCUAUUUUAAAGAGUCGAUCCAGCCAUUUCUCGCUACAUUCUCCAACGUAAUUUCAUCCUGGUAGGAACUAUGUAUGAAACACAAAUCAUUACUACUCAUUUAUUAUUGACAUUUGCAUUAACAGUCCAUCUGUAACUUGUGGCUCUUUUUUUUAAAUCUUGCUUAGCAUCUGGGUCAACAUUUCAUAAUAAAUCUUCUCAUUUCUUAUGCUACAUUCAAAUUAUUGCACAGAGCCGGUCAUGGGAAGAGGAUGAUCUUAAGAGAGAAAUGCUCAAAUACCUCGAUACUUUUAACAGCAAGAACACUUAGUCUUGAAGGGAUUGGUCCGGUCCGGUAUGUUGUCUUAGCCUUGAUGUUUAAUGUUUCCCUACUUUUGUCUUGUCUCUGCAUGUUUACCGUAUCUGCGUUUCAUGCAUUAACUAGCAACUUGCAUUUUUUUGCACAGCUAAAUAACAUAUGAUGAAUCAAAAGAAGCUCCGAAGUGGUGUGCAACAUUUGAGACAACAAUCAAAGAAAAAUGAUUGCUAAAGCAGAUACAGUUCAUGUGAGUGAUCUCAGCAUAAAUAAUAUGCUGCAUUAUUGCUGUCAGGAAGGGAAUAUUGACAUGAUGUUGCAAGGUAGCGACAACCAUCUAACUCUGUUCCCAUAUUGCUUUGAAGUUUACUUCUUAGUACUAUGUAUUCUGAGAGGUUUUUUACGGUACCCUGGUACUCCUUUUCCCUAGACGGAGUACCCGUCAAAUCUAACCAUGAGUUCCAGUGUUUUUUCCCCAUGCAGCUGCCAAAUGCUCUCUUCCAGAAAAAAUCUUAUGCACCAGUUACCCAUUUAGAACCUUCACUGAUUCCAUGGACUCACUUCAUACCAUACACAUUCUAAUACAGCUCCCACCUCCCGCUGAAUACUCUUAAUUCCACUUCUCUGAACUACUCUACUUCGGGGUUUCACUGACGGCAACCAUGGAAAAUUGUACAGUCUAUACCAAAACAACCCAUAUCCGCGUGCUGAAUCCAGUCCCCAAAUUAGUAGUAAUCUAAUUAUUUGGCUAACAGCUUUCACAUAAAGUGCGUGUCAGCUAAUUAUACCUUUGUGGCCAUCCUGGGAGCCUGUGGAUCAACUUGCUCUAAGGAGACCGGUGCGCCGUCGGUAUGUCACUGUCAUUCACUUUAUGAGUGUUCUAUACAGCAUGAACACAGCGACGACAGGAAAAGUUAGAUCUUGGACCUAAUCCAAACCCAAAUCCAAAUCAUGACCGACCAAACUGUCACAGAGGGCAAGAUUAGCACUUGUGGAAGGCUGCAGCAAGAACUCCAUCACCGCUGGAGCCGGGGCACCAUAACCCUAGGGAGAUGGUGGUGCCGCCGCCGAGCCGCUCGCAAUACUACCACACCAGCAAGCGGUCGAGGUAGGAGGCAGUUCGCCCCACCUACCCAUAUUUGCAUUUACUCCAGCGUAAUGAUGUCGUAAGCAGAACUGAUCCACGGAUCAGGAAUCCGCUGACGAUCAGGGUGCCGGAUCUGAAGUCAAUUCGCCACGGCCUGGAACGGACACGUCGUUCAGACCCACCGUCCAGGAGAACUUUUCCAUUUCGUUUUAUAUUCCAUGUGGUCUGCCGGGACCAGCACCGGUCACGUGUGCCUGCUAAAAUGAAUCACAAGAACAUAUUCGGCGGGAUAGAUUCCGAGAGCCUGUGUGCUCGUGAUCAAUUCCUCCGCGUCCAAAAGCUGCAUGCUCUCCUCUCCUAGUAAUAACCGAUCGCUGGCCAUCAGCCAACAAAGGACGGCGGUGUCCGCCAUACAACCCAUCGUCCUUUUCAUUUAUUGAUGACAUGAUGCAACACGUCAUCUUACCACCUCUUCUGUGGAAGUAAUUUGCGUCUAUAAAGUACCAUCAAAUGUGGCUUACUAGGUACUUGCAUAUUCAUCAGCCACAAGCCGAGGAAAGUUCCAGUACCACCCGUCAAAAUGGGGAGGGUUGAGCCCGCAGGUGCCAUCGCCGGCAGCACGAAGGCAUCCUGGCCGGAGGUGGUGGGCUGGCCGGCGCACGAUGCAGCGCUCCAGAUCAGCAAGGACAGGCCUGACGUCUCCAUCUCCUUCUACAUAGGCACGGGACGCUGGCCGCCGAGCCCGUACCCCUCGCGUGUCGUCGUGGUGUCAGACACGGCGACCGGCGUGGUCGUCCAGACGCCCGUCGUCGGUUAGGCCGCAUGCACCCCUUGUGCCUGCACAGGGAUACGUACAGUAGUAUCGUAUUUGCGUUGCUGCAGUUGCACAACAUAUGAAUAAGAUCCAACAUUUGAAAGCAUGUUCCAAUUCGAGGCAAUGGGGUGCAUGAAUAAAAUCCAACAUUUGAAAGCAGGUUUCAUUACGUGGAUGAUACAGUUCUAUGAUUUUCAUAUUUGUCUUCUCUAGCAAUCGUCAUGCAUUAUCAUACAUGUAGCAUAUAUAGGUUCAGUUGUUGCGUCUCUAACAUCAGGUUCAGGUCCACUUGUUGAAGAGAACUUAGAUUGAUUUCUAUUUCCACUAAUUACGUUUGAUUUAUAUAUAGUGUGUGACAUCUGACACCCUCAACUCGAGGUAAAAACAUGUGCGGUGUGGAACUAGGUUGUUUCCGUUCUAUGGUCAACCUAGCUAACGUACUGGCGGCACCUGCGGUGACCCGAUCUACCACCCCUUAACUCCUUCGCCUGCUCCUCCCCUCAUCGCCACCGGAGACCAGCGCCGGGCAAAACCUGUGCGAUGGCGGCCACGGAGGGGCCUCUCGUGGCGAGAAGGUGGUUGGCGGUUCCCAGCAUUUGACGGCGUGUGUAGCAGUGGGCGGAGGAGCCCCGGCGGCGUCCGUCGGAUGGUUGAUGGCGGCGCAGAGUGCUCUACCUUGGCCUGACAGUUCCAGCAUUGUCUGAUCUCUCUCGAGUUGCGUAUUGUGCUGACCAUCAUAGGGUCUUCGCGUGCCAACAGUGGUGAUAUGGCUUUGGUGCUUCAGUUCAGGCUAUAUUGGCCCUGAGCCGACUUGACUGGGGAGCUAUCUCCGACGAGGUGUUGGUCCUUAUGGUGACCACCCCGCCCAGACUAUGAUGGCAUACUCACUGUGAAGUGCGACGACAACCGAAAGGUCUUCGUGAGGGUUCCUCGCUAUGGAUCCGGUGUUUGACUUCGGAAGGGAGAUACAAACUAUGGACGACGGCUUGUCGCGGAGGGAUGGUUGUACAACGGCGAUGGUUGCACAUCGCGUGAAGUUGCUGGGACCACAGAAAGUGAUGGCAACAACACAUAAGUGAUGUUGAUGGUGGUGCUUAUCCAGCACCCAUUCCUGAGCUCCAGGGUGAAAACCUAGGUCUACCACUAUUUGGUUAUACCUGGCAAUGGCAAUAUUUUUACAUCGCAACAUUCUUGAAGGCAUUGCUCGGAUAUGUUCGGUUUGAUUCUUCAGUGUGAAAACCUAGAUUCUGGCCUUGGGUGGUUCGAUCUGUUGACGGCCGCACUUGAGCGUCGCUCCCUUCUUGAAGGCGAUGGUGUUCAAGAAUCUCGUCUGUGUGGCAUCAUGAGAUGGUUGAUGUGGAAAUGGUCCUUGAUGUACUUUGCGAAACAUAGAUCUGAUCGCUUUGUGUAUUUUGUUUUCUCGCCAACGCAUAGCUUUGGUCUUAUUUAACUUUGCUAUUUGCCGGCGUGUUCUGUGUGUGCAUACGUUGGUGUUGACUGUGUGCAUUCUAACUAUGCAGAGGCUGGAUGUGUGCUCAUUAUGUUUGUUUUCUCUUGAGGCUCCAUUUUAAGCCAAUAAAAUACAUCCUUUGUCAAAAACAAAAAAAGCUAAUGUACUGGCCAUAAGAAUGGGGUACCUAUUCGUUCAUAUGACAUUUGGCUGGCCUUGACAUUGCGAGAAGGCAAAACAAACUGGCGUAGAUGUUGUUGUUUGGGAACGUAGCAGAAAUUCAAAAUUUUCUACGCAUCACCAAGAUCAAUCUAUGGAGUAAUCUAGCAACGAGGGGAAGGGGAGUGCAUCUACAUACCCUUGUAGAUCGCGAUGCGGAAGCGUUGCAAGAACGCGGAUGAGGGAGUCGUACUCGUAGCGAUUCAGAUCGCGGUUGAUUCCGAUCUAAGCACCGAACCACGGCGUCUCCGCGUUCAACACACGUGCAGCCCGGUGACGUCUCCCACGCCUUGAUCCAGCAAGGAGAGAGGGAGAGGUUGGGGAAGACUCCAUCCAGCAGCAGCACGACGGCGUGGUGGUGAUGGAGGAGCGUGGCAAUCCCGCAGGGCUUCGCCAAGCACCGCGGGAGAGGAGGAGGAGGGAGAGGGGUAGGGCUGCGCCGAAAGAGAGACGUUCUCGUGUGUCUUGGGCAGCCCAAACCUCAACUAUAUAUAGGGGGGGAGGGGGCUGCGCCCCCCUUAGGGUUUCCACCCCCAAGAGGAGGCGGCCAGCCCUAGAUCCCAUCAAGGGGGGCGGCCAAGGGGAGGAGAGGGGGGGCGCCCCACUAGAUGGGCCCUAAGGCCCAUCUGGACCUAGGGUUUGCCCCCUCCCACUCUCCCAUGCGCCUUGGGCCUUGGUGGGGGGGCGCACCAGCCCACCUGGGGCUGGUCCCCUCCCACACUUGGCCCACGCAGCCUUCUGGGGCUGGUGGCCCCACUUGGUGGACCCCCGGGACCCUCCCGGUGGUCCCGGUACAUUACCGAUUUCACCCGAAACUUUUCCGGUGACCAAAACAGGACUUCCCAUAUAUAAAUCUUUACCUCCGGACCAUUCCGGAACUCCUCGUGACGUCCGGGAUCUCAUCCGGGACUCCAAACAACAUUCGGUAACCACGUACAUACUUUCCCUAUAACCCUAGCGUCAUCGAACCUUAAGCGUGUAGACCCUACGGGUUCGGGAACCAUGCAGACAUGACCGAGACGUUCUCCGGUCAAUAACCAACAGCGGGAUCUGGAUACCCAUGUUGGCUCCCACAUGUUCCACGAUGAUCUCAUCGGAUGAACCACGAUGUCGGGGAUUCAAUCAAUCCCGUAUACAAUUCCCUUUGUGCAUCGGUAUGUUACUUGCCCGAGAUUCGAUCGUCUGUAUCCCUAUACCUUGUUCAAUCUCGUUACCGGCAAGUCUCUUUACUCGUUUCGUAACUCACAUCAUCCCGUGAUCAACUCCUUGGUCACACUGUGCACAUUAUGAUGAUGUCCUACCGAGUGGGCCCAGAGAUACCUCUCCGUUUAUACGGAGUGACAAAUCCCAGUCUCGAUUCGUGCCAACCCAACAGACACUUUCGGAGAUACCUGUAGUGCACCUUUAUAGCCACCCAGUUACGUUGUGACGUUUGGUACACCCAAAGCAUUCCUACGGUAUCCGGGAGUUGCACAAUCUCAUGGUCUAAGGAAGUGAUACUUGACAUUAGAAAAGCUCUGAGCAAACGAACUACACGAUCUUGUGCUAGGCUUAGGAUUGGGUCUUGUCCAUCACAUCAUUCUCCUAAUGAUGUGAUCCCGUUAUCAACGACAUCCAAUGUCCAUGGUCAGGAAACCGUAACCAUCUAUUGAUCAACGAGCUAGUCUCCUAGAGGCUUACUAGGGACAUGGUGUUGUCUAUGUAUCCACACAUGCAUCUGAGUUUCCUAUCAAUACAAUUAUAACAUGGAUAAUAAACGAUUAUCAUGAACAAGGAAAUAUAAUAAUAACCUAUUUAUUAUUGCCUCUAGGGCAUAUUUCCAACAGUCUCCCACUUGCACUAGAGUCAAUAAUCUAGUUCACAUCACCAUGUGAUUAACACUGACAGGUCACAUCACCAUGUGACCAACAGCCAAAGAGAUUACUAGAGUCAACAAUCUAGUUCACAUCACUAUGUGAUUAACACUCAAUGAGUUCUGGUUUGAUCAUGUUAUGCUUGUGAGAGAGGUUAUUAGUCAAUGGGUCUGAACCUUUCAGAUCUGUGUGUGCUUUAUGAAUCUCUAUGUCAUCUUGUGGAUGCUACCACGCGCUAUUUGGAGCCAUUUCAAAUAAUUGUUCUACUAUACGAAUCCGGUUUACUACUCAGAGCCAUCCGGAUUAGUGUCAAAGUUCGCAUCGACGUAACCCUUUACGACGAACUCCUUUUCACCUCCAUAAUCGAGAAAAUCCUUAGUCCACUAGAUACUAAGGAUAAGUUCGACCGCUGUCAUGUGAUCCAUUCCCGGAUCACUAUUGUACCCCUUGACCAACUCAUGGCAAGGCACACUUCAUGUGCGGUACACAGCAUAGCAUACUGUAGAGCCUACGUCUAAAGCAUAGGGGACGACCUUCGUCCUUUCUCUCUCUUCUGCUGUGGUCAGGUCUUGAGUCUUACUCAACACUCACACCUUGUAACACAGCCAAGAACUCCUUCUUUGCUGAUCCAUUUUGAACUCUUUCAAAAUCAUGUCAAGGUGUGCGUUCUUUGAAAGUAUCAUCGGGCGUCUUGAUCUAUCUCUAUAGAUCUUGAUGCCCAAUAUGUAAGCAGCUUUUAUCCAGGUCUUCCUUUGAAAAACUCUUUUCAAACAACCCUUUAUGCUUUCCAGAAAUUUUACAUCAUUUCGGAUCAACAAUAUGUCAUUCACAUAUACUUAUCAGAAAUGUUGUAGCGCUCCCACUCACUUUAUUGGAAAUACAAGUUUCUCAUAAACUUUGUAUAAAUCCAAAAUCUUUGAUCAUCUCAUCAAAGCGUACAUUCCAACUCCGAGAUGCGUACUCCAGUCCUUAGAAGGAUCGCUGGAGCUAGCAUACCUUUUAGCAUCCUUAGGAUCGACAAAACCUUUCUGAUUGUAUCACAUACAACCUUUCCUUACGAAAACUGGUAAGGAAACUUGUUUUGACAUCCAUCUGCCAGAUUUCACAAAUGCAGCUAAUGCUAACAUGAUUCCGACGGACUUAAGCACCGCUACGGAUGAGAAAAUCUCAUCGUAGUCAACUCCUUGAACUUGUGGAAAUACUCUUUGCCACAAGUCGAGCUUCAUAGACGGUAACAUUACCGUCCAUGUCCGUCUUCUUCUUAAAGAUCCAUUUACCUCAACAGCCUUACGACCAUCAAGUAGUACUCUCAAAGUCUAUACUUUGUUUUCAUACAUGGAUCCUCUCGGAUUUUAUGGCUUCUAACCAUUUGUCGGAAUAUGGGCCCACCAUCGCUUCUCCAUAGCUCGUAGGUUCAGUAUUGUCCAACAACAUGAUAUCUCAGACAGGAUCACGUACCACUCUGAAGUAGCACGCAUCCUCGUCGUCCUACGAGGUUUGGUAGUGACUUGAUCCGAAGUUUCAUGAUCACGAUCAUAAGCUUCCACUUCAAUUGGUGUAGGUGCCACAGGAACAACUUCCUGUGCCCUGCUACACACUAGUUGAAGUGACGGUUCAAUAACCUUAUCAAGUCUCCACCAUCCUCCCACUCAAUUCUUUCGAGAGAAACUUUUCCUCGAGAAAGGACCUGUUUCUAGAAGCAAUUACUUUUGCUUCCAGAUCUGAAAUAGGAGGUAUACCCAACUAUUUUUGGGUAUUCUAUGAAGACGCAUUUAUCCGCUUUGGGUUCGAGCUUAUCAGCCUGAAACUUUUUCACAUAAGCAUCGCAGCCGCAAACUUUUAAGAAACGACAACUUAGGUUUCUCUAAACGGUGUCGUCUCAACGGAAUUGCGUGGUGCCCCUUUUAAAGUGAAUGCGGUUGUCUCUAAUGCCUAACCCAUAAACGAUAGUGGUAAUUUGAUAAGAGACAUCAUGGUAUGCACCAUAUCCAAUAGGGUGCAGCUAUGAUGUCCGGACACACCAUCACACUAUGGUGUUCCAGGCGGUAUUAAUUGUGAAACACUUUCCACAAUGUCUUAAUUGUGUGCCAAACUCGUAACUCAGAUACUCAUCUCUAUGAUCAUAUCACAGACAUUUUAUCCUCUUGUCACGACGAUCUUCAACUUCACUCUGAAAUUACUUGAACCUUUCAAUAAUUCAGACUUGUGUUUCAUUAAGUAAAUACACUCAACAUCUACUCAAACCAUCUGUGAAGUAAGAACAUAACGAUAUCCACUGCAUGCCUCAGCACUCAUUGGACUGCAUACAUCAAAAUGUAUUACUUCCAAUAAGUUGCUCUCUUGUUCCAUUUUACUGAAAACGAGGCUUUUCAGUCAUCUUGCCCACGUGGUAUGAUUUGCAUGUCUCAAGUGAUUCAAAAUCAAGUGAGUCCAAACGAUCCAUCUGCAUGGAGUUUCUUCAUGCAUAUAUACCAAUAGACAUGGUUCGCAUGUCUCAAUCUUUUCAAAAACGACUGAGUCCAAAGAUCCAUCUACAUGAAGCUUCUUCAUGCGUUCUAUACCAAUAUGACUCAAAUUGCAGUGCCACAAGUAUGUGGUACUAUCAUUACUAUUUUAUAUCUUUUGGCACGAACAUGUGUAUCACUACGAUCGAGAUUCAUUUUAGGUGCAAGACCAUUGAAGGUAUUAUUAAAAUAAACAGAGUAACCAUUAUUCUCCUUAAAUGAAUAACCGUAUUGCGAUAAACAUAAUCCAAUCAUGCUCAACGCAAACACCAAAUCUCGAUGGUAGAGGGAGCAUGCGAUGCUUGAUCACAUCAACCUUGGAAACAUUUCCAACACAUAUCGUCAUCUCACCUUUAGCUAGUCUCCGUUUAUUCCGCAGCUUUUAUUUCGAGUUACUAACACUUAGUAACCGAACCGGUAUCUAAUACCCUCGUGCUGCUAGGAGUACUAGUAAAGUACACAUUCAUAUGACGUAUAUCCAAUAUACUUCUGUCGACCUUGUCUGCCUUCUCAUCUACCAAGUAUCUAGGGUAGUACUACUUUAGUGACCGUUCCCCUCAUUAAGAAGCACUUAGUCUCGGGUUUGGGUUCAACCUUGGGAUUCUUUCGCUAGAGCAGCAAAUGACUUGCUGUUUCAUUAAGUAUCCCUUUUGCCCUUCUAGACUAGUGGUUUUACUAACCAUCAACAAUUGAUGCUCCUUCUUGAUUUCUACUCUCGCGGUGUCAAACAUCGCGAAUAGCUCAAGGAUCAUCAUAACUAUCCCUGAUAUGUUAUAGUUCAUCACGAAGCUCUACUAGCUUGGUGGCAGUGACUAUGGAGAACCAUCACUAUCUCAUCUGGGAGAUUAACUCCCACUCGAUUCAAGCGAUUGUGGUACUCAGACAAUCUGAGCACAUGCUCAACGAUUGAGCUUUUCUCCCUUAAUUUGCAGGCUUAAGAAACUUGUCAGAGGUCUCAUACCUCUUGACGUGGGCACUAGUCUGAAAUCCCAAUUUCAGUCUUCGGAACAUCUCAUAUGUUCUGCGACGUUUCAAAAACCGUCUUUGGUGCCACAAUUCUAAACCGUUAGCAUUACUCACUGAACUAUCACGUAGUCAUCAAAACGUGUAUGUCAGAUGUUUCGCAACAUCUACAGACGACGCUGAGGUUCAGCACACCGAGCGGUGCAUUAAGGACAUAAGCCUUCUGUGCAGCAAUGAGGACAAUCCUCAGUUUACGGACCCAGUCCGCAUAAUUGCUACUACCAACUUUCAACUAAAUUUUCUCUAGGAACAUAUCUCAACCAGUAGAACUAAAGCGUAUGACAUAAUUUGCAAAGAUCUUUUGACUAUGUUCAUGAUAAUUAAGUUCAUCCGAUUAAUGAACUCCCACUCAGAUAGACAUCCCUCUAGUCUUCUAAGUGAUACAUGAUCCGAGUCAAACUAGGCCGUGUCCGAUCAUCACGUGAGACGGACUAGUCAUCAUCGGUGAACAUCUCCAUGUUGAUCGUAUCUCCUAUACGACUCAUGUUCGACCUUUCGGUCUCUUGUGUUCCGAGGCCAUGUCUGUACAUGCUAGGCUCGUCAAGUCAACCUAAGUGUUUUGCAUGUGUUCCGAGGCCAUGUCUGUACAUGCUAGGCUCAUCAACACCCGUUGUAUUCGAACGUUAGAAUCUAUCACACCCGAUCAUCACGUGGUGCUUCAAAACAACGAACCUUCGCAACGGUGCACAGUUAGGGGGAACACUUCUCUUGAAAUUUUAUAAGGGAUCAUCUUACUUACUACCGUCGUUCUAAGCAAAUAAGAUGCAUAACAUGAUAAACAUCACAUGCAAUCAAAUAGUGACAUGAUAUGGCCAAUAUCAUUUUGCUCCUUUGAUCUCCAUCUUCGGGGCACCAUGAUCAUCUUUGUCACCGGCAUGACACCAUGAUCUGCAUCAUCAUGAUCUCCAUCAUUGUGUCUUCUUGAAGUUGUCAUGCCAACGGUUACUUCUACUUCUAUUGCUAACGCGCUUAUCAAUAAAGUAAAGUAACUUACAUGGCGUUAUUCAAUGACACGCAGGUCAUACAAAAAUAAAGACAACUCCUAUGGCUCCUGCCGGUUGUCAUACUCAUCGACAUGCAAGUCGUGAUUCCUAUUACAAGAAUAUGAUCAAUCUCAUACAUCACAUAUAUCAUUCAUCACAUCUUCUGGCCAUAUCACAUCACAAUGCACAUGCUGCAAAAACAAGUUAUACGUCCUCUAAUUGUUGUUGCAAGUUUUUUACGUGGCUUGUAUAGGUUUCUAGCAAGAACGUUUCUUACCUACGUAAGACCACAACGUGAUAUGCCAAUUUCUAUUUACCCUUCAUAAGGACCCUUUUCAUCGAAUCCGUUCCGACUAAAGUGGGAGAGACAGACACCCGCUAGCCACCUUAUGCAUCUAGUGCAUGUCAGUCGGUGGAACCUGUCUCACGUAAGUGUACGUGUAAGGUCGGUCCGGGCCGCUUCAUCCCACAAUGCCGCCGAAACAAGAUAAUACUAGUAACGGCAAGAAGAAUUGGCAACAUCUACGCCCACAACUACUUUGUGUUCUACUCGUGCAUAGAAACUACGCAUAGACCUAGCUCAUGAUGCUACUGUUGGGGAACGUAGCAGAAAUUCAAAAUUUUCUGCGCAUCACCAAGAUCAAUCUAUGGAGUAAUCUAGCAACGAGGGGAAGGGGAGUGCAUCUACAUACCCUUGUAGAUCGCGAUGCGGAAGCGUUGCAAGAACGCGGAUGAGGGAGUCGUACUCGUAGCGAUUCAGAUCGCGGUUGAUUCCGAUCUAAGCACCGAACCACGGCGCCUCCGCGUUCAACACACGUGCAGCCCGGUGACGUCUCCCACGCCUUGAUCCAGCAAGGAGAGAGGGAGAGGUUGGGGAAGAAUCCAUCCAGCAGCAGCACGACGGCGUGGUGGUGAUGGAGGAGCGUGGCAAUCCCGCAGGGCUUCGCCAAGCACCGCGGGAGAGGAGGAGGAGGGAGAGGGGUAGGGCUGCGCCGAAAGAGAGACGUUCUCGUGGGUCUUGGGCAGCCCAAACCUCAACUAUAUAUAGGGGGGGGGGGNNNNNNNNNNNNNNNNNNNNNNNNNNNNNNNNNNNNNNNNNNNNNNNNNNNNNNNNNNNNNNNNNNNNNNNNNNNNNNNNNNNNNNNNNGGGGGGGGGGGCUGCGCCCCCCUUAGGGUUUCCACCCCCAAGAGGAGGCGGCCAGCCCUAGAUCCCAUCAAGGGGGGCGGCCAAGGGGAGGAGAGGGGGGGCGCCCCACUAGAUGGGCCCUAAGGCCCAUCUGGACCUAGGGUUUGCCCCCUCCCACUCUCCCAUGCGCCUUGGGCCUUGGUGGGGGGGGGGCGCACCAGCCCACCUGGGGCUGGUCCCCUCCCACACUUGGCCCACGCAGCCUUCUGGGGCUGGUGGCCCCACUUGGUGGACCCCCGGGACCCUCCCGGUGGUCCCGGUACAUUAUCGAUUUCACCCGAAACUUUUCUGGUGACCAAAACAGGACUUCCCAUAUAUAAAUCUUUACCUCCGGACCAUUCCGGAACUCCUCGUGACGUCCGGGAUCUCAUCCGGGACUCCGAACAACAUUCGGUAACCACGUACAUACUUUCCCUAUAACCCUAGCGUCAUCGAACCUUAAGCGUGUAGACCCUACGGGUUCGGGAACCAUGCAGACAUGACCGAGACGUUCUCCGGUCAAUAACCAACAGCGGGAUCUGGAUACCCAUGUUGGCUCCCACAUGUUCCACGAUGAUCUCAUCGGAUGAACCACGAUGUCGGGGAUUCAAUCAAUCCCGUAUACAAUUCCCUUUGUCCAUCGGUAUGUUACUUGCCCGAGAUUCGAUCGUCGGUAUCCCUAUACCUUGUUCAAUCUCGUUACCGGCAAAUCUCUUUACUCGUUCCGUAACUCACAUCAUCCCGUGAUCAACUCCUUGGUCACACUGUGCACAUUAUGAUGAUGUCCUACCGAGUGGGCCCAGAGAUACCUCUCCGUUUAUACGGAGUGACAAAUCCCAGUCUCGAUUCGUGCCAACCCAACAGACACUUUCGGAGAUACCUGUAGUGCACCUUUAUAGCCACCCAGUUACGUUGUGACGUUUGGUACACCCAAAGCAUUCCUACGGUAUCCGGGAGUUGCACAAUCUCAUGGUCUAAGGAAGUGAUACUUGACAUUAGAAAAGCUCUGAGCAAACGAACUACACGAUCUUGUGCUAGGCUUAGGAUUGGGUCUUGUCCAUCACAUCAUUCUCCUAAUGAUGUGAUCCCGUUAUCAACGACAUCCAAUGUCCAUGGUCAGGAAACCGUAACCAUCUAUUGAUCAACGAGCUAGUCUCCUAGAGGCUUACUAGGGACAUGGUGUUGUCUAUGUAUCCACACAUGCAUUUGAGUUUCCUAUCAAUACAAUUAUAGCAUGGAUAAUAAACGAUUAUCAUGAACAAGGAAAUAUAAUAAUAACCUAUUUAUUAUUGCCUCUAGGGCAUAUUUCCAACAGUUGUUGGAGAGGUCCUCCUGAUCAGACAAUGGUCGAUCGUCACCUUGGAGUGGACGGUUUACUAUGACGAAAUGCAGCAGAUUGUUGCUUUUCAUUCAUCGAGAGAAGAAACGAACUACAAGACAGUAUAUGAGCUUUACAGAACCUGAGAAGGACUCAGGCCAGCAAAAUUUGAAAAUUUUGCAAAGAGGAAAAGCAGAGGAAAGAAGAUCUCACAGGGGUAACAUCUCACCCAUCCAGAAAACUCCCCAGGCCACAACCUUAGAUUUAAUUGCUGUCAUAGACCUGCAGGAAAGUUGCUGACUUGGCAUUGAAGACCCUAUUAUUUCUUUCCUUCCAAACCAGCCACCAAAUCAGAAUGACCAGCGCAGAAACAUGGUUCUGACAUCGAGGAGAAGUAGCUUGAAGCGCAUCCAGCCACUAGUUGAGCAGGCCGACCGUGUCACUAUUGGGCAUGAGCUUGAACGGGAAGUUGUAUCUGGUUAGAAAAUAACCCGGUAUCCCGGCUGUGAAUGGGCAUUUGGCAAAGAUAUGCAAAACAGAUUCGUAUCCAAGAUGCCACAAGGGGCAAAUGGGAUUAUGAAGCCAAUUUCUGUUGGCUAGAUUGUCAGUCAUAAGGCACUGUCCGUGUCACUGUGAACGAUUUACUUUGUCCAAUAAGAUUUCAAACUUGUGAAUGCCUAGUUGUCCUUGCUACGAAGUGAAAGAAAAACAAAGUUGGUCAUAUGCAAGGAAAAAUGAUACUAGAUGAUCUCGUAGCUUAGUGUUUAAGAGAAAUGUUUAUUUUCAAACAACUCUGUGUGCAUGAAGUCCCAACUUAUCUACUAGUAAACACCAAGAGAAAACCAUAGAGAUGGAGAGGGGUGGCGCAGUACAACAUGUUGAAGUAUAUUGUCCGUCUAGCUAUCAGUUCGGACUUUUGGAUGAGUUGACUUGAGCAUGAAUUCCAUAUGGUAUCCGAGCCAAGAGGUCUUGGGUCAAGACCCUGCCAACGCAGUAUUAAAUAAAACCGAUUCUGCAGCCUACGUCGAUCCCACGUCUAAGGACUAACAUAGCCUAGACACUAGUAGAAAACUGGGCUUUGGUCACAGGGCAAUAUUCACAUUAGUCCCGGUUCAGUCACGAACCGGGACUAAUGUGAGCAUUGGUCCCGGUUCGUGCGGCCAGGGGCCUGCCGGGCCUCGUGGGGGCAUUGGUCCCGGUUCGUCCGGCCCCUUUGGUCCCGGUUGGUGGGACAAACCGAGACCAAUGGGCCUCGCUCCUGGCCCACCACCAUUGGUCCCGGUUGGUGGCUUGAACCGGGACCAGAGGCUCACCCUUUAGUCCCGGUUCAUACCACAAACCGGGACUAAAGGGUUGGUCCUAGUAGCGGUCAGAGUUUAGUCCCAUCUCGCCAACCGAAGGGCGCUCACACCGGUUUAUAAGCCCGUCCCUCUCUACCUUGUUGAGCUCCUCUCAAAGUGAAAAUAGAUGCCCUUAUACAGGGAAUUUGACCUAAAUUCAGAGUAAAUUUCUUUGAAUUUCAUAGAAAUUUAUUAUGAAUUUAGGUUGAAUUUUCUCUAUAGGCGCAUCUAUGUUCAUUUUUUAUAGUAAAUAAAAUAAAUAUACCUUAAUAAAAUAAAUAAAAAUAAAUAAACCUUAAUAAAAUAAAAUAAAAUAAACUAUAGUAAAUAAAAAUAAAUAAAGCUUAAUAAAAUAAAUAAAAAUAGCAGCAGUAAAAUAAAUAAAAAUAGCAGCAGUAAAAUAAAUAAAAAUAAAAUAAAUAAAGUAAAAUACAUAAGUAAUUAGAAACAAAAUGGAAUAAAAUAAAUAAGUUUUUUGUUGGAAGUAGAAACAAAACAAAAUAAAUAAAGCAAAAGAGAAAACAAAAAACAGGGAAAAAAAUUAUGCCACCUACUGGGCCACCACGGCCUGAAUACGACUUGAAACCCAUCCAUGGGCCAUGAUUCAGACCCGCAGAAGGCCCAGUAGGCCCCACAGGCAAAGAGAACGGUUAGGCCCGAAAGCCUGCAGUUGAGAGGAGCUCGAGAGGGUGGGCGCAGCAGCGCUUAUAAACCACUCUCGAGCUCUCUCAGCUAGCGAGGUGGGACUAAACUUUUGACGCGGGGCAUCACAAGGCCUUUGGUCCCGGUUGGUGCCACCAACCGGGACUAAAGGGGGGCAUGCGUACCGGUUCGUGGCACCAACCGGGACCAAUGCCCCCCCUUUAGUCCCGGUUGGUGCCACGAACCGGGACCAAUGAGUUGCCUAUAUAUACCCCAUCGCCACAGCAGAGCACUCCACGGUGCUCUGUUUUUUCUGGCCGGCGAGGGGAGGGCAUUUGGGUGCUCUAGCUCACCUCGUAUGCACAUGAGGUUUUCGAUGGAAUGUCUGAGCCACACUAGUUAAUCUUUUUCCUCUCGAAACUCGACCUCCGAGCUCCAUUUCCCCCGAGAUUUGUCUAGGUUUAGCGGUCCGUCACGUCCCGUCCCCGUCUUCACCGCCGUCGAUCGCCCGCGCCGAUCUCGUCGCCAGCACCACCGUGGUGAGCCUCUUGUUCUUAUCUUCUUUCUGAAAGAAAAACAAUUCUUACUUUAGAUAGAUACUUGUCUAAUUUUGUUACUUUUAUUAUUCCUUCUUAUUACAUAGUGCGAUGGUUUUGGUAUCCGCCCCCGUCGGCCCUCGUCCUGUCUAUGAUUCGGAUGUGGUAUAUAUUAUCUUUUUAUAACUAUUUGGUUCAUUUAUUGUUUAUGACAAAUAUGCCGACCAACGUGACAUAGAUUUUAUUUAUCUAGGAGGUGGUUGAACGGGAAAUUCCAACCGACCCUAUUGUCGAGAGGUUAAAUUUAGUUGAAGAAGAAAACAAUUACUUGAAGGAAAAAAUAAAAAAAAUUGAGGAAGAGAAGAUGAUAUUGGAGUUGCAUGUUGCGGAUGUCGUCGAUGAUCACAAGAUCAAGAUGGAUGCAAUGCGCUUGAAGAUUAGAAAGAUUAGAAAAUAUGCCAUUCAUACCGAGGCUUGGUAUCAUUAUGCCGUUGGAUCAAUUGUUACCUUGGUUGCGAUUAUGAUCGCAUUUGUUUUCGCAUUGAAAUGUUUUACAUAGUUUCAAUGUAUGGUUUAAUUAAUUAGAUGCUCUGGAGAGCUAUAUAUAUGUUGUUAGAUGAGAACUAUGUAUGUACUUUGGUUUUAAUGUGAUGAUGAACUUCUAUUAAUUUGGUCACUUAAUUAUCUAUUCAUGAUGUUCUGUAAUGGUUUUUGACACACUUAAUUAUAUAUAAUGCACGCAGAUGAACCGGCAAUGGAUGUACGGUGACAGACACACCUCCGAGUACAUUAAGGGCGUGCAUGAUUUUCUCGAAGUGGCUGAGGCAAACAAGCAGAAUGGUUUUAUGUGUUGUCCAUGCCCUACAUGUGGGAAUACGAAGCCUUACUCUGACCGGAAAAUCCUUCACACCCACCUUCUUUACAAGGGUUUCAUGCCACACUAUAAUGUUUGGACGAGGCACGGAGAAAUAGGGGUUAUGACGGAAGACGGCGAAGAAGAAGAGGACGAUGACAACUAUGUGCCCCCUGAAUACGGUGAUGCUGCAACGGGGGAAGCUGCUGAAGAUCAAGAUGAACCAGACGAUGUGCCUGUUGGGAAUCGUAGCAUAAUUUUAAAAUUUUCCUACGCUCACCAAGAUGCAUCUAUGGAGUCUACUAGCAACGAGGGGAAGGGAGUGCAUCUACAUACCGUUGUAGAUCGCGAGCGGAAGCGUUCCAAUGAACGUGGAUGACGGAGUCGUACUCGCCGUGAUCCAAAUCACCGAUGACCGAGUGCCGAACGUACGGCACCUCCGCGUUCAACACACGUACGGUGCAGCGACGUCUCCUCCUUUCUUGAUCCAGCAAGGGGGAGGAGAGGUUGAUGGAGAUCCAACAGCACGACGGUGUGGUGGUGGAUGUAGCGGCUCUCCGGCAGGGCUUCACCGAGCUUCUGCGCGAGAGAGAGAGGUGUUGCAGGGGAGGAGGGAGGCGCCAAAGGCUGUAGUGUGCUGCCCUCCCUCCCCCCCUUUAUAUAGGCCCCCAAGGGGGGUGCGCAGCCCUUGGAGAUGGGAUCUCCAAGGGGGGGGGGGGGCGGCGGCCAAGGGGGAAAGGGGUUGCCUUGCCCCCCAAGGCAAGGGGAAACUCCCCCCCUAGGGUUCCCAACCCUAGGCGCAUGGGGGGGAGGCCCAAAGUGGCGCCCCAGCCCAUUAGGGGCUGGUUCCCCUCCACUUUCAGCCCACGGGGCCCUCCGGGACAGGUGGCCCCACCCGGUGGACCCCCGGGACCCUUCCGGUGGUCCCGGUACAAUACCGAUAACCCCCGAAACUUUCCCGGUGGCCAAAACUGGACUUCCUAUAUAUAAUUCUUCACCUCCGGACCAUUCCGGAACCUCUCGUGACGUCCGGGAUCUCAUCCGGGACUCCGAACAACUUUCUGGUUUCCGCAUACAUAUAUCUCUACAACCCUAGCGUCACCGGACCUUAAGUGUGUAGACCCUACGGGUUCGGGAGACAUGCAGACAUGACCGAGACGCCUCUCCGGUCAAUAACCAACAGCGGGAUCUGGAUACCCAUGUUGGCUCCCACAUGUUCCACGAUGAUAUCAUCGGGUGAACCACGGUAUCGAGGAUUCAAUCAAUCCGUAUGCAAUUCCCUUUGUCAAUCGGUAUGUUACUUGCCCGAGAUUCGAUCGUCGGUAUCCCAAUACCUUGUUCAAUCUCGUUACCGGCAAGUCUCUUUACUCGUACCGCAAUGCAUGAUCCCGUGACUAACGCCUUAGUCACAUUGAGCUCAUUAUGAUGAUGCAUUACCGAGUGGGCCCAGAGAUACCUCUCCGUUUACACGGAGUGACAAAUCCCAGUCUCGAUCCGUGCCAACCCAACAGACACUUUCGGAGAUACCCGUAAUGCACCUUUAUAGUCACCCAGUUACGUUGUGACGUUUGGCACACCCAAAGCACUCCUACGGUAUCCGGGAGUUGCACGAUCUCAUGGUCUAAGGAAAAGAUACUUGACAUUGGAAAAGCUCUAGCAAACGAAACUACACGAUCUUUUUAUGCUAUGCUUAAGUUGGGUCUUGUCCAUCACAUCAUUCUCCUAAUGAUGUGAUCCCGUUAUCAAUGACAUCCUAUGUCCAUAGUCAGGAAACCAUGACUAUCUGUUGAUCAACGAGCUAGUCAACUAGAGGCUUACUAGGGACAGGUUGUGGUCUAUGUAUUCACACAUGUAUUACGAUUUCCGGACAAUACAAUUAUAGCAUGAAUAAAAGACUAUUAUCAUGAACACAGAAAUAUAAUAAUAACCAUUUAUUAUUGCCUCUAGGGCAUAUUUCCAACAGUCUCCCACUUUCACUAGAGUCAAUAAUCUAGUUACAUUGUGAUGAAUCGAACACCCAUUGCGUCCUGGUGUUGAUCAUGUUUUGCCCUAGGGAGAGGUUUAGUCAACGGAUCUGCUACAUUCAGGUCCGUGUGUACUUUACAAAUAUCUAUGUCUCCAUUUUGAACACUUUCACGAAUGGAGUUGAAGCGACGCUUGAUAUGCCUGGUCUUCCUGUGAAACCUGGGCUCCUUCGCAAGGGCAAUAGCUCCAGUGUUGUCACAGAAGAGAGUCAUCGGGCCCGAUGCAUUGGGAAUCACCCCUAGGUCGGUAAUGAACUCCUUCAUCCAGACUGCUUCCUGUGCUGCCUCCGAGGCUGCCAUGUACUCCGCUUCACAUGUAGAUCCCGCCACGACGCUUUGCUUGCAACUGCACCAGCUUACUGCUCCUCCAUUCAAAAUAUACACGUAUCCGGUUUGUGACUUCGAGUCAUCCAGAUCUGUGUCGAAGCUAGCGUCGACGUAACCCUUUAUGACGAGCUCUUCGUCACCUCCAUAAACGAGAAACAUAUCCUUAGUCCUCUUCAGGUACUUCAGGAUAUUCUUGACCGCUGUCCAGUGUUCCAUGCCGGGAUUACUUUGGUACCUUCCUACCAAACUUACGGCAAGGUUUACAUCAGGUCUGGUACACAUCAUGGCAUACAUAAUAGACCCUAUGGCCGAGGCAUAGGGGAUGACACUCAUCUUUUCUCUAUCUUCUGCCGUGGUCGGGCAUUGAGCCGUGCUCAAUUGCACACCUUGCAAUACAGGCAAGAACCCCUUCUUGGACUGAUCCAUACUGAACUUCUUCAAUAUCUUGUCAAGGUAUGUACUCUGUGAAAGACCAAUGAGGCGUCUUGAUCUAUCUCUAUAGAUCUUGAUGCCUAAUAUAUAAGCAGCUUCUCCAAGGUCCUUCAUUGAAAAACACUUAUUCAAAUAGGCCUUUAUACUUUCCAAGAAUUCUAUAUCAUUUCCCAUCAAUAGUAUGUCAUCCACAUAUAAUAUGAGAAAUGCUACAGAGCUCCCACUCACUUUCUUGUAUACACAGGCUUCUCCAUAAGUCUGUGUAAACCCAAACGCUUUGAUCAUCUCAUCAAAGCGAAUGUUCCAACUCCGAGAUGCUUGCACCAGCCCAUAGAUUGAGCGUUGGAGCUUGCAUACUUUGUUAGCAUUCUUAGGAUCGACAAAACCUUCCGGCUGCAUCAUAUACAACUCUUCCUUAAGGAAGCCGUUAAGGAAUGCCGUUUUGACGUCCAUCUGCCAUAUCUCAUAAUCAUAGUAUGCGGCAAUUGCUAACAUGAUUCGGACGGACUUCAGCUUCGCUACGGGUGAGAAAGUCUCAUCGUAGUCAACCCCUUGAACUUGUCGAUAACCCUUAGCGACAAGUCAAGCUUUGUAGAUGGUCACAUUACCAUCUGCGUCCGUCUUCUUCUUAAAGAUCCAUUUGUUUUCUAUGGCUCGCCGCUCAUCGGGCAAGUCAGUCAAAGUCCAUACUUUGUUUUCAUACAUGGAUUCUAUCUCGGAUUUCAUGGCUUCUAGCCAUUUGUCGGAAUCCGGGCCCGCCAUCGCUUCUUCAUAGUUCGAAGGUUCACCGUUGUCUAACAACAUGAUUUCCAGGACAGGGUUGCCGUACCACUCUGGUGCGGAACGUGUCCUUGUGGACCUACGAAGUUCAGUGGCAACUUGAUCCGAAGUUUCAUGAUCAUCAUCAUUAACUUCCUCCCCAGUCGGUGCAGGGACCACAGGAACAUUUUCCCGCGCUGCGCUACUCUCCGGUUCGGAAGGGGUGACUAUCACCUCAUCAAGUUCCACUUUCCUCCCACUCAAUUCUUUCGAGAGAAACUCCUUCUCUAGAAAGGACCCGUUCUUGGCAACGAAGAUCUUGCCUUCGGAUCUGAGGUAGAAGGUAUACCCAAUAGUUUCCUUAGGGUAUCCUAUGAAGACGCAUUUUUCCGAUUUGGGUUCGAGCUUUUCAGGUUGAAGUUUCUUGACAUAAGCAUCGCAUCCCCAAACUUUUAGAAACGACAGCUUAGGUUUCUUCCCAAACCAUAAUUCAUACGGUGUCGUCUCAACGGAUUUAGACGGUGCCCUAUUUAAAGUGAAUGCGGCAGUCUCUAAAGCAUAACCCCAAAAUGAGAGCGGUAAAUCGGUAAGAGACAUCAUAGAUCGCACCAUAUCCAAUAGAGUGCGAUUACGACGUUCGGACACACCAUUUCUCUGAGGUGUUCCAGGCGGCGUGAGUUGUGAAACUAUUCCACAUUUCCUUAAGUGUGUACCAAAUUCGUGACUUAAAUAUUCUCCACCACGAUCUGAUCGUAAGAAUUUUAUUUUCCUGUCACGUUGAUUCUCAACCUCACUCUGAAAUUCUUUGAACUUUUCAAAGGUUUCAGACUUGUGUUUCAUUAAGUAGACAUACCCAUAUCUACUUAAAUCAUCAGUGAGAGUGAGAACAUAACGAUAUCCUCCGCGAGCCUCAACACUCAUUGGACCACACACAUCGGUAUGUAUGAUUUCCAAUAAGUUGGUUGCUCGCUCCAUUGUUCCGGAGAACGGAGUCUUGGUCAUCUUACCCAUGAGGCAUGGUUCGCACGUGUCAAAUGAUUCGUAAUCAAGAGACUCCAAAAGUCCAUCUGCAUGGAGCUUCUUCAUGCGCUUGACACCAAUGUGACCAAGGCGGCAGUGCCACAAGUAUGUGGGACUAUCGUUAUCAACUUUACAUCUUUUGGUAUUCACACUAUGAACAUGUGUAACAUCACGUUCGAGAUUCAUCAAAAAUAAACCAUUGACCAGCGGGGCAUGACCAUAAAACAUAUCUCUCAAAUAAAUAGAACAACCAUUAUUCUCGGAUUUAAAUGAGUAUCCAUCUCGAAUUAAACGAGAUCCAGAUACAAUGUUCAUGCUCAAAGCUGGCACUAAAUAACAAUUAUUGAGGUUUAAAACUAAUCCCGUGGGUAGAUGCAGAGGUAGCGUGCCGACGGCGAUCACAUCGACCUUGGAACCAUUCCCGACGCACAUCGUCACCUCGUCCUUCGCCAGUCUCCGUUUAUUCCGUAGUUCCUGUUUUGAGUUACAAAUAUGAGCAACCGCACCGGUAUCAAAUACCCAGGAGCUACUACGAGUACUGGUAAGGUACACAUCAAUUACAUGUAUAUCACAUAUACCUUUGGUGUUGCCGGCCUUCUUCUUGUCCGCUAAGUAUUUGGGGCAGUUCCGCUUCCAGUGACCACUUCCCUUGCAAUAAAAGCACUCAGUCUCGGGCUUGGGUCCAUUCUUUGACUUCUUCCCAGUAACUGGUUUACCGGGCGCGGCAACUCCCUUGCCGUCCUUCUUGAAGUUCUUCUUACACUUGCCCUUCUUGAACUUAGUGGUUUUAUUCACCAUCAACACUUGAUGUUCUUUUCUGAUCUCCCCUUCCGCUGAUUUCAGCAUUGAAUAUACCUCAGGAAUGGUCUUUUCCAUCCCCUGCAUAUUGUAGUUCAUCACAAAGCUCUUGUAGCUUGGUGGAAGCGACUGGAGGAUUCUGUCAAUGACCGCGUCAUCCGGGAGAUUAACUCCCAGCUGAGACAAGCGGUUAUGCAACCCAGACAUUCUGAGUAUGUGCUCACUAACAGAACUGUUCUCCUCCAUUUUACAGCUGAAGAACUUGUCGGAGACAUCAUAUCUCUCGACCCGGGCAUGAGCUUGGAAAACCAAUUUCAGCUCCUCGAACAUCUCGUAUGCUCCAUGUUUCUCAAAACGGUUUUGGAGACCCGGUUCUAGGCUGUAAAGCAUGCCACACUGAACGAGGGAGUAAUCAUCAGCACGUGAUUGCCAAGCGUUCAUAACGUCUUGGUUCUCAGGGAUUGUUGCAUCACCUAGCGGUGCUUCUAAGACAUAAUCUUUCUUGGCUACUAUGAGGAUGAGCCUCAGGUUCCGGACCCAGUCCGUAUAGUUGCUGCCAUCAUCUUUCAGCUUGGUUUUCUCUAGGAACGCGUUGAAAUUGAGGACAACGUUGGCCAUUUGAUCUACAAUACAUAGUGUAAAGAUUUUAGACUGAGUUCAUGAUAAUUAAGUUCAUCUAAUCAAAUUAUUUAAUGAACUACCACUCAGAUAGACAUCCCUCUAGUCAUCUAAGUGAAACAUGAUCCGAGUUUAACUAGGCCGUGUCCGAUCAUCACGUGAGACGGACUAGUCAAGAUCGGUGAACAUCUCCAUGUUGAUCGUAUCUUCUAUACGACUCAUGCUCGACCUUUCGGUCCUCCGUGUUCCGAGGCCAUGUCUGUACAUGCUAGGCUCGUCAAGUCAACCUAAGUGUAUUGCGUGUGUUCCGAGGCCAUGUCUGUACAUGCUAGGCUCGUCAACACCCGUUGUAUUCGAACGUUAGAAUCUAUCACACCCGAUCAUCACGUGGUGCUUCGAAACAACGAACCUUCGCAACGGUGCACAGUUAGGGUGAACACUUUCUUGAAAUUAUUAUAAGGGAUCAUCUUACUUACUACCGUCGUUCUGAGCAAAUAAGAUGCAAAAACAUGAUAAACAUCACAUGCAAUCAAAUAGUGACAUGAUAUGGCCAAUAUCAUCAUGCUCCUUUGAUCUCCAUCUUCGGGGCACCAUGAUCAUCUUUGUCACCGGCAUGACACCAUGAUCUCCAUCAUUGUGUCUUUAUGAAGUCGUCACACCAACGAUUACUUCUACUUCUAUGGCUAACGCGUUUAGCAACAAAGUAAAGUAAUUUACAUGGCGUUAUUCAAUGACACGCAGGUCAUGCAAAAUAAUAAAGACAACUCCAAUGGCUCCUGCCGGUUGUCAUACUCAUCGACAUGCAAGUCGUGAUUCCUAUUACAAGAAUAUGAUCAAUCUCAUACAUCACAUAUAUCAUUCAUCACAUCUUCUGGCCAUAUCACAUCACAUAGCACUUGCUGCAAAAACAAGUUAGACGUCCUCUAAUUGUUGUUGCAAGUUUUUUUACGUGGUUUGUAGGUUUCUAGCAAGAACGUUUUCUUACCUACGUAUGACCACAACGUGAUUUGCCAAUUUCUAUUUACCCUUCAUAAGGACCCUUUUCAUCGAAUCCGUUCCGACUAAAGUAGGAGAGACAGACACCCGCUAGCCACCUUAUGCAUCUAGUGCAUGUCAGUCGGUGGAACCUGUCUCACGUAAGCGUACGUGUAAGGUCGGUCCGGGCCGCUUCAUCCUACAAUGCCGCCGAAACAAGAAACGACUAGUAGCGGCAAGAAGAAUUGGCAACAUCAACGCCCACAACUUCUUUGUGUUCUACUCGUGCAUAGUAACUACGCAUAGGCCUGGCUCUGAUACCACUGUUGGGAAUCGUAGCAUAAUUUUAAAAUUUUCCUACGCUCACCAAGAUGCAUCUAUGGAGUCUACUAGCAACGAGGGGAAGGGAGUGCAUCUACAUACCGUUGUAGAUCGCGAGCGGAAGCGUUCCAAUGAACGUGGAUGACGGAGUCGUACUCGCCGUGAUCCAAAUCACCGAUGACCGAGUGCCGAACGUACGGCACCUCCGCGUUCAACACACGUACGGUGCAGCGAUGUCUCCUCCUUUCUUGAUCCAGCAAGGGGGGAGGAGAGGUUGAUGGAGAUCCAACAGCACGACGGUGUGGUGGUGGAUGUAGCGGCUCUCCGGCAGGGCUUCACCGAGCUUCUGCGCGAGAGAGAGAGGUGUUGCAGGGGAGGAGGGAGGCGCCAAAGGCUGUAGUGUGCUGCCCUCCCUCCCUCCCCUUUAUAUAGGCCCCCAAGGGGGGUGCGCAGCCCUUGGAGAUGGGAUCUCCAAGGGGGGGGGGCGGCGGCCAAGGGGGAAAGGGGUUGCCUUGCCCCCCAAGGCAAGGGGAAACUCCCCCCCUAGGGUUCCCAACCCUAGGCGCAUGGGGGGGAGGCCCAAAGUGGCGCCCCAGCCCAUUAGGGGCUGGUUCCCCUCCACUUUCAGCCCACGGGGCCCUCCGGGACAGGUGGCCCCACCCGGUGGACCCCCGGGACCCUUCCGGUGGUCCCGGUACAAUACCGAUAACCCCCGAAACUUUCCCGGUGGCCAAAACUGGACUUCCUAUAUAUAAUUCUUCACCUCCGGACCAUUCCGGAACCUCUCGUGACGUCCGGGAUCUCAUCCGGGACUCCGAACAACUUUCUGGUUUCCGCAUACAUAUAUCUCUACAACCCUAGCGUCACCGGACCUUAAGUGUGUAGACCCUACGGGUUCGGGAGACAUGCAGACAUGACCGAGACGCCUCUCCGGUCAAUAACCAACAGCGGGAUCUGGAUACCCAUGUUGGCUCCCACAUGUUCCACGAUGAUAUCAUCGGGUGAACCACGGUAUCGAGGAUUCAAUCAAUCCGUAUGCAAUUCCCUUUGUCAAUCGGUAUGUUACUUGCCCGAGAUUCGAUCGUCGGUAUCCCAAUACCUUGUUCAAUCUCGUUACCGGCAAGUCUCUUUACUCGUACCGCAAUGCAUGAUCCCGUGACUAACGCCUUAGUCACAUUGAGCUCAUUAUGAUGAUGCAUUACCGAGUGGGCCCAGAGAUACCUCUCCGUUUACACGGAGUGACAAAUCCCAGUCUCGAUCCGUGCCAACCCAACAGACACUUUCGGAGAUACCCGUAAUGCACCUUUAUAGUCACCCAGUUACGUUGUGACGUUUGGCACACCCAAAGCACUCCUACGGUAUCCGGGAGUUGCACGAUCUCAUGGUCUAAGGAAAAGAUACUUGACAUUGGAAAAGCUCUAGCAAACGAAACUACACGAUCUUUUUAUGCUAUGCUUAAGUUGGGUCUUGUCCAUCACAUCAUUCUCCUAAUGAUGUGAUCCCGUUAUCAAUGACAUCCUAUGUCCAUAGUCAGGAAACCAUGACUAUCUGUUGAUCAACGAGCUAGUCAACUAGAGGCUUACUAGGGACAGGUUGUGGUCUAUGUAUUCACACAUGUAUUACGAUUUCCGGACAAUACAAUUAUAGCAUGAAUAAUAGACUAUUAUCAUGAACACAGAAAUAUAAUAAUAACCAUUUAUUAUUGCCUCUAGGGCAUAUUUCCAACAGUGCCCAAUGAUGCUGCAAGGGGGGAAGCUGCUGGAGAUCAAGAGGAACCAGUGCCCGAUGAUGAUGAUCUCCGCCGGGUCAUUGUCGAUGCAAGGACGCAAUGCGAAAUUCAAAAGGAGAAGCUGAAGUUCGAUAGCAUGUUAGAGGAUCACAAAAAAGGGUUGUACGCCAAUUGCGAAGAUGGCAACACAAAGCUCGGUACCGUACUGGAAUUGCUGCAGUGGAAGGCAGAGAAUGCUGUGCCUGACAAAGGAUUUGAGAAGCUAUUGAAAAUAUUGAAGAAGAAGCUUCCAAAGGAUAACGAAGUGCCCGACAGUACAUACGCAGCAAAGAAGGUCGUAUGCCCUCUAGGAUUGGAGGUGCAGAAGAUACAUGCAUGCCCUAAUGACUGCAUCCUCUACCGCGGUGCGUACAAGGAUCUGAACGCAUGCCCGGUAUGCGGUGCAUUGCGGUAUAAGAUUAGACGAGAUGACCCUGGUGAUGUUGACGACGAGCCCCCCAGGAAGAGGGUUCCUGCGAAGGUGAUGUGGUAUGCUCCUAUAAUACCACGGUUGAAACGUCUGUUCAGAAACGAAGAGCAUGCCAAGUUGAUGCGAUGGCACAGUGAGGACCGUAAGAAAGACGGGAAGUUGAGAGCACCCGCUGACGGGUCGCAGUGGAGAAAAAUCGAGAGAAAGUACUGGGCUGAGUUUGCAGCUGACCCAAGGAACGUAUGGUUUGGUUUAAGCGCGGAUGGCAUUAAUCCUUUCGGGGAGCAGAGCAGCAAUCACAGCACCUGGCCCGUGACUCUAUGUAUGUAUAACCUUCCUCCUUGGAUGUGCAUGAAGCGGAAGUUCAUUAUGAUGCCAGUUCUCAUCCAAGGCCCUAAGCAACCCGGCAACGACAUUGAUGUGUACCUAAGGCCAUUAGUUGAAGAACUUUUACCGCUGUGGAAUGGAAACGGUGUACGUACGUGGGAUGAGCACAAACAGGAGGAAUUUAACCUGCACGCGUUGCUGUUUGUAACCAUCAACGAUUGGCCCGCUCUCAGUAACCUUUCAGGACAGACAAACAAGGGAUACCACGCAUGCACGCACUGUUUAGAUGACACUGAAAGUAUAUACCUGGACAAAUGCAGGAAGAAUGUGUACCCGGGCCAUCGUCGAUUUCUUCCGACCAACCAUCAAUGUCGAAAGAAAGGAAAGCAUUUCAAAGGCGAGGCAGAUCACCGGAAGAAGCCCGCCAUGCGUACUUGCUAUGGUCAAUGAUUUACACGUAAUCUUUGGAAAGGGUCCCGGCGGACUAGCUGUUCCGAAUGACGCUGAGGGACACGCACCCAUGUGGAAGAAGAAAUCUAUAUUUUGGGACCUACCCUACUGGAAAGAGCUAGAGGUCCGCUCUUCAAUCGAGGUGAUGGACGUGACGAAGAACCUUUGCGUGAACCUGCUAGGCUUCUUGGGCGUGUAUGGGAAGACAAAAGAUACACCUGAGGCACGGGAGGACCUGCAACGUUUGCACGAAAAAGACGGCAUGCCUCCGAAGCAGUAUGAAGGUCCUGCCAGCUACGCUCUUACGAAAGAAGAGAAAGAAAUCUUCUUUGAAUGCCUGUUCAGUAUGAAGGUCCCGACUGUUUUCUCGUCGAAUAUAAAGGGAAUAAUAAAUAUGCCCGAGAAAAAGUUCCAGAACCUAAAGUCUCAUGACGGCCACGUGAUUAUGACGCAACUGCUUCCGGUUGCGUUGAGGGGGCUUCUACCGGAAAACGUCCGAUUAGCCAUUGUGAAGCUAUGUGCAUUCCUCAAUGCAAUCUCUCAGAAGGUGAUCGAUCCAGAAAUCAUACCAAGGCUAAUGAGUGAUGUGGCGCAAUGUCUUGUCAGUUUUGAGCUGGUGUUCCCACCAUCCUUCUUCAAUAUCAUGACGCACGUCCUAGUUCAUCUAGUCGACGAGAUUGUCAUUCUGGGGCCCGUAUUUCUACACAAUAUGUUCCCCUGUAAGAGGUUCAUGGGAGUCCUAAAGAAAUAUGUCCGUAACCGCGCUAGGCCAGAAGGAAGCAUCUCCAUGGGCCAUCAAACAGAGGAUGUCAUUGGGUUUUGUGUUGACUUCAUUCCUGGCCUUAAGAAGAUAGGUCUCCCUAAAUCGCGGUAUGAGGGGAGACUGACUGGAAAAGGCAUGCUUGGAGGGGACUCAAUAAUAUGCAGGGACGGAUAUUCUUGGUCUCAAGCACACUACAUAGUUCUACAGAACUCUACCUUGGUGACCCCGUAUGUCGAUGAACACAAGAACAGUCUGCGCUCCAAACACCCGGAGCAGUGUGACGACUGGAUUACAUGUGAACACAUCAGGACUUUCAGCAGUUGGUUGGAAACACGUCUCAGAGGUGACACCACUGUUUGUGAUGAGUUGUACUCGUUGUCCAGGGGACCAUCUUCGACUGUAUUGACUUACAAAGGAUUCGAGAUAAAUGGGAAUACAUUUUACACGAUCGCCCAAGAUCAAAAGAGCACCAACCAAAACAGCGGUGUCCGCUUUGAUGCAGCAACCGAGAGGGGAAAAGACACAUAUUAUGGUUACAUAAUGGACAUAUGGGAACUUGACUAUGAACAUGAUUUUAAGGUCCCUUUGUUUAAGUGCAAAUGGGUCAAUCUGUCAGGAGGCGGGGUACAGGUAGACCCACAGUAUGGAAUGACAACAGUGGAUCUGAACAAUCUUGGGUACAUUGACGAACCGUUCGUCCUAGCCAAUGAUGUGGCACAUGUUAUCUAUGUGAAGGACAUGUCUACCAGACCGAGAAAAAGAAAAGAUAAGGAAGCGAAUACAUCAUACGAUGAGCCAAAGCGCCACAUAGUUCUUUCAGGAAAAAGGGACAUUGUGGGAGUGGAGGGCAAGACAGACAUGUGUGAAGAUUAUGAAAAGUUUCAUGAAAUUCCUCCCUUCAAAGUCAAGGCUGACCCAAGCAUCCUGAUAAACGAUGAAGAUUAUCCAUGGUUACGGCACAAUAAGCAAAUGACACAAGCGAAGAAAAAGUGAAGACUUUCUCCCGCAACUAUUAUGAUGAUACCAUCCCAACUUUGUAACAGACGAGUAUGAUACCAUUGUCCGUUUUGUACACGAAGUGCAUCUAGUUUUUGCCGUAACCCUCUCAACUUUCUUGCACAUGCUAUCUGGAUGAAAUGAUGAUACCAUGCCAACUUUCAACCUUUUCUGAGUUCAUUUGAAAUGCUUUUCAAUUUUAGGGUCUUAUAGCUCAAAAUAAUUAGUAAAUGCAUGAAAAAUAACAAAUGAAGUCAGAAAGGGUUGAAAAUUGAUGAUGUGGCUUUGAAUGGUGCAUUUUGAACACACAAAAAGUCAGGAGUUCAAAUAAGUUUUAAAAAAUGAAAUCCCUUUGUAACAGACGAGUUUCCAUAUGAAAUCCUGAUACUUCGAAAGAGGUUGUCCGUUUUGUACACGAAGUGCAUCCAGUUUUUGCCGUAACCCUCUCAACUUUCUUGCACAUGCUAUGUGGAUGAAAUGAUGAUACCAUGCCAACUUUCAACUUUUUCAGAGUUCAUUUGAAAUGCUUUUCAAUUUUAGGGUCUUAUAGCUCAAAAUAAUCAGUAAAUGCAUGAAAAAUGGUGCAUGAAAAAUAACAAAUAAAAUAAAUAAGUAAUUAGAAACAAAAUAAGAUAAACUUUAAUAAAAUAUAUAAGUAGAAACAAAAUAAAAUAAACUUUAAUAACAUAAAUAAAAUUUAUGAAACUAAAAUUAUCAAAGUAUUUUCUGUUCAAAACAUUAUAAGCAACCUCUAGUAUUAUUGAAACUAAAAUUAUAUAAAAUUGAUGCAACUAAAAUUAUCGAAGUAUUUUCUGUUCAAAAUCAUUGAAAGCAAAAAUAAUUUUNNNNNNNNNNNNNNNNNNNNNNNNNNNNNNNNNNNNNNNNNNNNNNNNNNNNNNNNNNNNNNNNNNNNNNNNNNNNNNNNNNNNNNNNNNNNNNNNNNNNNNNNNNNNNNNNNNNNNNNNNNNNNNNNNNNNNNNNNNNNNNNNNNNNNNNNNNNNNNNNNNNNNNNNNNNNNNNNNNNNNNNNNNNNNNNNNNNNNNNNNNNNNNNNNNNNNNNNNNNNNNNNNNNNNNNNNNNNNNNNNNNNNNNNNNNNNNNNNNNNNNNNNNNNNNNNNNNNNNNNNNNNNNNNNNNNNNNNNNNNNNNNNNNNNNNNNNNNNNNNNNNNNNNNNNNNNNNNNNNNNNNNNNNNNNNNNNNNNNNNNNNNNNNNNNNNNNNNNNNNNNNNNNNNNCCCUACCCCGACCACGCCGCACCUCUCAUCCUUUGGUCAGGGCCGGCACUGCCCCCUUCCUCCCUGUUUUUUCUGCACAUAUAUAUGAUGUUUUUUCCUGAUUAUAUGUAUAUGUAUGAGUAUAUGUAUGUGUGUAUAUCUGUUUAUAUGUCCUUUUUUUAGAUCUUUUUUUUGCAUUUUUAUAAAAAUGUAUAUAUGUAUGUAUAUAUGUUCUCUGUGUAUAUAUAUGUUCAUGUAUAUAUGCAAAAGAUAGAUUUUUAGAAAAGUUAGGAUUUUUUCUGUUCAUAGAUUUUUUUGGUGAUAUUAAUUAUUGUAGAAUAUGCAAAUGUUUGUAUAUUCAUAUGAACAAUGCAUUAGGCAAAACCUUUACUUUUUUUUCGAAAUUUUCUAUUUGAACAUUUUUUUAUGAAUGAGAGGAAAAAGAAAAAUAAGAAGAGGAAGAAAGGAGAAGAAGAGGAGAGGAAGAAGAGGAGAAAUAAAUAAGAAGAGGAAAAAAGAAGAAAAAGAAGAGGAGAAGAAGAAAGGAAUAGAAGAGAAGAAGAAAAAAUAGAAUUUUUCUAUUUUUUCUUCUUCUCUCCUCUAUUCCUUUCUUCUUCUCCUCUUUUUUUUCUUCUUUUUUUUCUUCGAUCUUCUCCUCUAUUCCUUUCUUCUUCUCCUCUUUUUAUUUCUUCUUCGUUUUCUUAUGUUUUAUCGGGUCUCCCUCUCCCGAUAACUUCAACACGAGGGGGGUCGAUAUACCCCCUCCCCGAUAAUAUUAUUUUCCCAUGUAUGUAUGUCGUCGUUGUCGAUAUAACCCCCUCCCGAUAACUUCAACACGUGGGGGGGGGGUCGAUAUACCCCCUCCCCGAUAACAUUAUUUUCCCAUGUAUGUAUGUCGUCGUUGUCGAUAUAUAUAACUCCCUCCCAAAUAACUUCGACAUGAUGGACGGUCGAUAUUUAUACCCCCUCUCGACCGGGAUAACUUAUACAACGGGAGCACCCCCCGGCCCUCUCGCUCCACCAAAACUCUCGAGGACACCCAAACCCUAGAAAAAAACGAUGUCGGUCUCCUACCCCCUCCCGCCGUGCCCCUACCCUUGAAGCGUUGCCAAGGCCACCCCAAACCCGGAAUAAGCUAGGUCUACGUUUGCACUAAUAUAUCCACCUGCUGUCAUGUUUGUGUAAUAAUUGCCAUGUUGUAAUAUUUGCAGAAACAAUGGAGCACGGACGAGACGAGCAAGCAGAAGAGGUGUUGGGGGACAUAAUCUUAGCCGGAGGUGAUAUCCUGUCGUAUCUUAACGACAAUGAUGGUCUGGAAGAACAGGGUGAAGAAGCAGGCUACGGUGAUCGAAGAGUGGAGGAGGAAAGACAUGAUUAUGAUGGCUCCGGUGACCCAAUGCUGGUGCAAGAAGGAGCCCGUGGUGACGGCUCCGGUGACCGAACAGAGUCCGGCCAGGUAAAUAUAUUAGUUAAGCCUGUGCUGACUAGCUAAUUGAUGCAUUCAUUGUUUUGGUAUGUACACAUAUUAAUUAACACUCGUCUUUCUUCUUUUUUCUAGCCCUCCGGAUCGAGCACAACUUCGGUAAAGAGACGAGGCCCGAAGAGAAAGUUGCGCUCAGAUGAAAGGUUUGAGAUCACAGCAAUCGUGCGCGACGGCCAACCGAUUGAACCCAUCCGGACAAAGGAUGCAUUUGCUGCUCAGUGCGGGGUUCUAGUUAGGGACAAGAUCCCGAUCAGCAUCCACCAAUGGUAUAAGCCUAAGAAGGAAGACCCUGAGGUGUCUUAUGUCAAUGAUAUGCAGAAAGAUGAUCUUUGGACUGAGCUGAAGGCAAAUUUCACCCUACCGCUAGAGGAGGAUCCGGAGAAGCCAGUUAAAGAGCAAUUAAUCAAGUCUCAUGCUCUUAAGAAGAUGGCAGACCUAUUCAGGAGGUGGAAGAAUGAGCUGAAAACGUUUGUCGACAAAGAAGAGACACCAGAAUUCAUCGGCCGGUAUGAGAAGACCAGAUUAUAUUGUAAGAGAUAAUUAUUGUAUAUAUGUAGCCGGUAGUGUCAGAUAGAUAUACGAGAACUUGUUGUUCGACCAAUCUCUCGGAGAAGGAGAGGUGGUCGAUAUCACUUCUCUCUGUAUGCAUAUGUUCAUGAUGAUCUUCUGUUUCCUUCAUUUGCUUACUAGCUAGCGUGUCUAGUCCUCUCCAUACGUAUAUAGUACGUAGCGUCGACCAAGCACGGAGAUAAGAGAGGACACUUCUCUCUAUUAAUUAGCUAGCUAACUCAAUAUAUGAAACACCUAAAUUAACCCCCAAAACCCCCCNNNNNNNNNNNNNNNNNNNNNNNNNNNNNNNNNNNNNNNNNNNNNNNNNNNNNNNNNNNNNNNNNNNNNNNNNNNNNNNNNNNNNNNNNNNNNNNNNNNNNNNNNNNNNNNNNNNNNNNNNNNNNNNNNNNNNNNNNNNNNNNNNNNNNNNNNNNNNNNNNNNNNNNNNNNNNNNNNNNNNNNNNNNNNNNNNNNNNNNNNNNNNNNNNNNNNNNNNNNNNNNNNNNNNNNNNNNNNNNNNNNNNNNNNNNNNNNNNNNNNNNNNNNNNNNNNNNNNNNNNNNNNNNNNNNNNNNNNNNNNNNNNNNNNNNNNNNNNNNNNNCCUGAAAUGCUGACGCGUGGAUGCCUAUUGAUCCCGGUUGGUGACACCAACCGGGACAAAAGGCCCUGCCUAUUGGUCCCGGUUGAUGACGAAGGCCCCCCGCCUGGGCUGGCAGCAGCGGCCACGUGGAGGACCUUCUGUCCCGGUUCGUAUAAGAACCGGGACUAAAGGGUUAGGGCUUUAGUAACGACCCUUUAGUCCUGGUUCAAAAACCGGGACAAAAGGCCCUUAUCAACCGGGGUAAAAGCCCCUUUUUCUACUAGUGAGACGUGAGGGGCCAAUGCAGUGCUGCCGGUUCCACUGUAGUCGGACCCAGAUUUUUGGGCACAUCCCACUCAUCUUAGCAUGCAUGCUUUUGACACCGAACGAGAAGCAUGCAGGCUGCAACCGGCACACGCCCAGACACUGGAUCUGAGCGAAUCUCUUGCCUGGACGGACACCCGGCAGGCAAGCCAUUCAUGCAUAUAUAUGACUAUGAAUGUUAAACAUGGUUUCACGACACCACUCAUUCUCAAGCCGUUCUUGCUUGCACAACAUUUUAAUCAAUCAAGUGUUUUUUUCUUUAGCCGCUCACAAAACAAAAGAACCUGGGAGGUGUGGGCCGGAUUAGGCUCACAAACAUUGCUAAUCACAGGUAGCAAGAAUAGGGGUGCAUGUGUGUACGUGUGCGUGCGUGUGUGUGUUGUGUGUGAAUAAAAUUUUAAACAGGGAACUGCAAAGAUGAUGCUACUAUAUAAUAGUAGUGAGCAGGUACUCGGUGUAAUAAGCUUGCACAUGGCGAAGUUAUUUGUCAAAUCUCUCCCUAGUUUUUUUAACACAGUACAGACGCAAGCGCUCAUAUACACGCGCAUACACUCAUCCAUAUGAAUGCAUAUAUGCACACCCUAUCCCUAUGAGCACCUCCGGAAGACUGAGCCGUCAUAUCAUCUUGAAAUUUACGAAGUCAACGUAGGCACCUCGUCAUCGACAGGAACGUCUUCUCCCAUGAAUGCGCAUCGACGGAAAUCCCGAAAUAAAUUCAGGAAUAAAUGCGAGCACCAGGACUUGAACCCUGAUGGGCUGAGGAUAGCACAACCCUCUAACCUUCCAACCAUAGGUUGGUUCGCAAGUCUCUCCCUAGCUGACAUGUUGAUGGCAGGCACAAUUAUGAGCAAUGAUAGGUCACAAGUAGAAGAAAUCAAUUAUUUUACUAAUUUUUGGGUGGAACCUCUCAUUUUCGUGAUCAAGGUAAGGCCCGAGUUAUUUCAAUCUUAAGUGAAAUAUGCUUCCACGGUGCUGACUAGAUACAAGCACGUGUGACCAAAUAGCAACUUGCAUACACUCUGUACACAACGGAAAGAUCACUAUCCCAUCCUUGCAUGCGAUGCACGAAAUUCAUUUUAUUCAUACAAAGUUCAAGACGUCAAGGCUCAAAACAACAUGCAAAUAGAAACUAGCUAACAUCGCCCAAUCUCACAAUGGUUAAACGACAACAGGCUAAUCUUGCAACUUAUUACUCUGUUUAAAACCACCGAAAACAAGCAAGAAACAUAGUAUAUGUACCCAGGGUUAAAAAUUUCAACGAAAUUUUAGUGAAAUUUUGCAUUUUUCUAUGGGGUUCGAAAUAUUUUUAAGACCGAAAUUUCAAGGAAGAUUCACCUUGAUUUCAAGAUAAAUUUAGCAGAUAAUCGAUGCUUACAUGUGUUUAAAUGUUGUGUUCACAUUCAAAAACUUCAACGCUCGAAACACACAUUUACCGAGGGGCAUCGAAACCGGUCGAAAUCUCAAAAUAUUGAGUGGUAACAAAAACCUUUUGAGCAGGCAAGUCCAUGCCUCGUCUUGACCUAUGGUGCGGCGGACCAUGUUGGGACAAACCUCAAACCAGCUCUUGCUCUUUCACUCGCACAAAUGAAGGUGGAAGAUGGAGCACACGAUUUUCCCGGCGCACAAAGGCCUCGGCCGCACGAACGGCCUUACUUUACUGGGCACAUACCCGGGCUUGGCAACAAACCGCAGCCUACCCAGAGGAGCUCUCUCUCCUGCCGACCGGGCGCACACCAUGGUCACGGUGGAGACUACGCUCAUCUAUGGUUUUCCUAGGCUCGGCUCAUUCCGACGCAACUUCAAGCAGUACAUGAGGGGGCUUUUUAUACCCAGGCGCCACAAGUGACACACGCACCUAGCUGACGCAUGACACGGUCACCACACUGGGCACUAACCCAUGCAUGCACGCAUCACACGCACUAAGCAAGCUACAUGCACGGCCACAACCACCACUUGCGUUAGACUCUCAACGGCCUCGCAGCCUACAUGCAUCCACUAGCUAACCUGGCCGGCACACUCGCCAAUGGCCCCUGCCCAACGCGCCGGACUGAGUGCACACACACCCACACGCGGCACACACACAGGUCACCACGGCUGGUUUAUACCUAACAGACCAAAUGGUCAGAACUCCUGGAGGCGCUUGCAAAUGGAAGUUCUGCAGGAGCGCGGUUUCUUGGCUGCACAGAAGGUUGUUGGUGAAUUUCUCAAAAUUGUUGUAGGCACCGGUCUCCUUCUCAUCGACGCCUAGGCACGGGUGCACGUCACGGCGCGCCAGAGGUGCCUCCACCUCGUGGACAGCACGCACGUCUGCACCAUCUGCAGGGCAUUGAGGUGCGACAUGAUGGCGUUGGGAAGGUCGUCUGGCAGCAUGCUCAGACAAUCGCCGGCAUGUCCGCCGCUGCUGCGCCCACCCACAUCACCGCACCCGCCACCUGGAUGGCGUAGCUGCUUGGGCUUGGCGGAGGUGUCCGUGCAUCGCCCUCCAACCAUUUUCGUUGGUUGUUGAUCUAAAAAGGUCCGUUGGUUUGGAUUGCUGCAGAGUACAGUCGUCUACAGUACGAGGGAGGCGGGAGACGAGACCAUGGACCCUUGUGUUUAUAUGCGUGAUAGGGAGAAGGCUGUUCGUUUGGAGGAUGCUCAAAAAAGUUUGCUGGCUGUUGCUAGGCCGCCGUCAUGGCAAAAUUGGCGAUCUUGGGGUUGGGAAUGAGGAGAACAAUGGAGGACGGAACGGAUGAGACAAGUGGGCGUACGCCGGAGACAUGGCAAGGGGGCUGGAGUACCUCCACACGAGGUUACUGGUGCACGGCGACGUCAUGGCACGGAAGGUCGUGAUCGGCGGUGACGGUCGUGCCAAGCUGACUGGCUUUGGCUACGCGAGUGCCGUGGACUCCCUGCUUUCAAUGGGCAGCACGCUAGCGUUCAUGGCACCCCCACUACCAGAAUAACUGCUUGCGCCGACGGCCUCAUCUAUGCCGACGGCCCCCGUCGGCAUAGAUGGACCUAUGCCGACGGCCGAGGACAGGCCGUAGGCGUAGAAAAGCCGUCGGCAUACAUCCAUCUAUGCCGACGGGGCCGUCGGCAUAGACGUGGCCGUCGGGACCACUCAAGAUAUGCCUACGGGGACCGUCGGCAUAGCCCGGGCCCACCUACCCGGUCAGCGCUGACCGUUUGACGGCGUUGAAACUACGCCGACGGGAGGUAACGGCGGCCGUCGGCAUAUCUAUGGCAGAGGUAUGCCUACGGCAUAGCCGUCAGCAUAGACCUGGCCCAUGCCCCUCUGCCACGUCAUUGAUCCGUGUGCGCAGCUAUGCCGACGGCCUCGCCGUCGGCAUAUAUUUAUUUAGUUUUAUUUUUAAUUUUGCUUUAUACUAUCUAUGGCAAAGGUAUGCCUAUGGCAUAGCCGUCGGCAUAGGCCGCUCUGCCACGUCAUCGAUCCCUGUGCCAUGCCACGUCAUCGAUCCGUGGGACUGCAUCUCCGUGUGUGCAUUUUACUUUAUUUUUUUAUUUUUACUUUAUUUUGUUAUUUUUACUUUAUUUUAAUUUUUGUUUUUCCAUAAGAUAAUUAUGCCUUAUCUAAAAAAAGUACCCUGAUGGUACAUCGAUUGCCCCCCGUUACGAACGUCGCUAUCGCCGUGUCAUGGAGGGGGGAAACUGUCGACAUGGUGGGAAUUCUGGUGGUGGGGGGAUUCGGGGUGUAGCUAUGUCACCGAAACAUCGCACGGGUCCCGAUGCAUAUGUGAAAGUGUUCACGCAUGCGUAGACACCCGUCUUGGGGCUCCGCGGUGUGCCCCCUGCAUGCAAGGCAGUGCCGCCGUCACUUGGAGGGGGCCAAACCCCAGAGACGCGUGCCGCCUUUUCGGACAUGCCACCACACCACCCCGCAUGUAUGGGGGCCCGGUGCGACGCUCGGGUGGCAUUGCUACCCCCCAGGCCCCCCGUCCCGCCUAACCCUGUAGCGUUUGACCACGGGAUCUAGCCCUUUGACUUUGCACGGACGGGCUUUGAGCAGUGGACCUAUCCACCCGGUUGUGUUAGGUCAGCCCAUACGAAUACUUUGGAGCAACAUCCGGGCCAGACCCACAGCAAGAUCCCCUCCGUGUAGACCCGACGCGUCCGUUUCCCCCCUCCAGGUGCCGGCGGCGGCGCCGUCCAUGAGGGGGGCACACCCCGAAGACGCGUGCCGGGCGUUUGCACCCGCCACAACACUUUCAGACUUGUGAGAGGCCGCCUACGCAAGAUUUGGCGGCAUGCUAGCCCCCGGAGGCCGCCGGCCACAGUCGUAGACACGCGAAGAGCAAUCCGCAUAGAGGGAAUUGUUCAGAUACUACUCCAUCACGAACAAUUAUGAAAAAUUACCAUCAUUCCUACAGCACAUGUGCCCGCGUCGUGUAAAAAACUCAUGAUUUUAUCGUGCUCCGAGUAUUUAAUAAUAUUCACGCCGCAUCGUUACCGCAGAACGUCUACUACCGUGUCAUCGCCGUUCGUGAGGGGGGGCACCCCCCGGAGACGCGUGCUGCCUCUUUGGACAUGCCACCACACCACCCCGCAUGUAUGGGGGCCCGGUGCGACGCUCGUGUGGCAUUGCUACCCCCAGGGCCCCCGUCCUGCCUAACCCUGUAGCGUUUGACCACGGGAUCUAGCCCUUUGACUUUGCACGGACGGGCUUUGAGCAGUGGACCUAUCCACCCGGUUGUGGUAGGUCAGCCCAUAGGAACACUUUGGAGCAACAUCUGGGCCAGAGCCACAGCAAGAUCCCCUCCGUGUAGACCCGACGCGUCCGUUUCCCCCCUCCAGGUGCCGGCGGCGGCGCCGUCCGUGAGGGAGGGCACACCCCGGAGACGCGUGCCGGGCGUUUGCACCCGCCACAACACUUCCAGACUUGUGAGAGGCCGGCUACGCAAGAUUUGGCGGCAUGCUAGCCCCCGGAGGCCGCCGGCCACAGUCGUAGACACGCGAAGAGCAAUCCGCAUAGAGGGAAUUGUUCAGAUACUACUCCAUCACGAACAAUUAUGAAAAAUAACCAUCAGUCCUACAGCACAUGUGCCCGCGUCGUGUAAAAAACUCAUGAUUUUAUCGCGCUCCGAGUAUUUAAUAAUAUUCACGCCGCAUCGUUACCGCAGAACGUCUACUACCGUGUCAUCGCCGUUCGUGAUGGGGGGCAACCCCGGAGACGCGUGCCGCCUCUUCGGACAUGCCACCACACCACCCCGCAUGUAUGGGGGCCCGGUGUGACGCUCAGGUGGCAUUGCUACCCCCAGGGCCCCCGUCCCGCCAAACCCUGUAGCGUUUGACCACGGGAUCUAGCCCUUUGACUUUGCAUGGACGGGCUUUGAGCAGUGGACCUAUCCACCCGGUUGUGGUAGGUCAGCCCAUAGGAACACUUUGGAGCAACAUCCGGGCCAGGCCCACAGCAAGAUCCCCUCCGUGUAGACCCGACGCGUCCGUUUCCCCCCUCCAGGUGCCGGCGGCGGCGCCGUCCGUGAGGGGGGGCACACCCCGGAGACGCGUGCCGGGCGUUUGCACCCGCCACAACACUUCCAGACUUGUGAGAGGCCGCCUAUGCAAGAUUUGGCGGCAUGCUAGCCCCCGGAGUGUUGGGGAACGUAGGAGAAAUUCAAAAUUUUCUACGCAUCACCAAGAUCAAUCUAUGGAGUAAUCUAGCAACAAGGGGAAGGGGAGUGCAUCUACAUACCCUUGUAGAUCGCUAAGCGGAAGCAUUGCAAGAACGCGGAUGAGGUAGUCGUACUCGUGGCGAUUCAGAUCGCGGUCGAUUCCGAUCUAAGCGCCGAACAACGGCGCCUCCGCGUUCAACACACGUGCAGCCCGGUGACGUCUCCCAUGCCUUGAUCCAGCAAGGAGAGAGGGAGAGGUUGGGGAAGAC
rnacentral:lncRNA from 1 species